UUAAAACUUAAUACUAGUACAUCUUAAAUUAGAAAGAUUACAAUUGAACCAUGAAAAUGAAAGAAUGUGACAUCACGUGGAAACUUUAUCGUACAAGACAGCUCAUAGAUCCUUUCAUAUUUUGCCACAUAAUCCCUUCCCCUAACCGCCCCUCCUAAACUAAAAACAAAACUAGAUUAGCUUAAACUAAACUAUGAACAUAUUCAUAUUCCCAUUUUACCCUUUUCUACUACUCCAAAAUCUACACCCACCCAAGUCAAAUUACAUAAAAGCACCUACUACAUUAAACCACCAUCUUUUCGGUAACUCAAAACUUGCACCAUUAACGUUAUGGUCCGAACAGCUCACUCUUAGUCAUACAUUAAAGUAUCACUUUUCGGUGACUCAAACUUGCAAUCUUCAUGUUUAUUAUUCGAGCAACUCCCGCUUAGAGUACAUUAAGCUACCAUCAUUUCGGCGACUCAAACUUACAACCUUCGCAUUGUUAUUCGAGCAACUCCCUCCUAUUGUACAUUAAACUACCAUCUUUUCCGGUAACUGAAACUUACAACCCUCGCGUUAUCAUCCAAGCAACUCCCUCUUAUCCUACAUUAAACUACAUUGCUUUCCAUGAAUGACUCAAGAGUAGGAAAGCCAGCAAAAGAGCUAAAGUCAUAGCCACAUGAGCCACCAUCAACCACCACAUUCUCCGGCUGAGUCACGGCGGCGGACGGCGGCGCCGUUGGGACCAUACCCGAAGUGGGGUCAAGUAAAAAAGCUGACGUGUCAAGAGUUGGCAGAGAGGUAAUCGAUGGUAGCCGGUUACCAACACGUUGGGGUUCCGGUCUCACGAUAUUCCCAACCGGCAGCUGCCCCUCGCCGGGCAUGAACCUAACGCCGGUAACCUGCUGCACCAUAUGCCGGAAAUUGUCCACGUCAGCAGUUAUGUACGUCGUCGUAUUCCUCCUCGAAGCACGUGACUUCCUCUUAGUUAUCUUCCCGUUCACCCCAACUUUACUCCGGCGGGUCGACCCGGUUGUCUCAUUCUCCGACCCCCCGGAAAUAGUCCGACCCGACCCGGUUGAAGUCUGAAACGGGUUCGGAUCCGGGUCGGGGAACACAGAAUUUUGGAGGACUUUGGUUAGUGUUUCGGUUUCUUUGGUGAAUACGUCGGAGAACCAAGAAUCGGUAAAAGCAGAACGAAAUGCCCAUGACUCCAUAGUCAUUAAAUUGUCAGAAGCAGCCAUGUUUAGUACAAAAUUUUGCAAAAAUAACCAAAACAACAGAGCUAGAGCUAAGAAGAGUUAAUUUUUCAGUAAAAAAAUUUGCAUUUUUAGUACAAGAAAUUGCAAAAAUAGCAGAGCUAGAGCUAAAAGGAUUCAGUUUUUCGUGCAAGAAAUUGCAAAAAAGAACAAAGCUUCAGCUAAAAAGACUGAACCUUUUUAGUCAUAAAAUUGCAUUUUUAGUACAAGAAUUGCAAAAGCAACCAAAAGUAGCAGAGCUAGAGCUAAAAGGAUUCAAUUUUUAGUGCAAGAAAUUGCAAAAACAACCAAAAAGAGCAGAGCUGGAGCUAAAAAGAUCAAUAUUCAAUUUUUAGUACUAAAAUUUGUUAAAUUUGCAUUUUUUGGGUGCAGUGAAGUGGAGAAAAGAAAGGGAUAAUCCAGUAUGAAAGGAGGAAGAAGAUAUAUAAAAGAGUAGAAAAGAAGAAACCGCGUUUUGUGGGGACACGUGUCAGCAUAUCUGUACGUGUAAUAUAAUGACUCUAAAGAUAACUUUGGCUUUCUCAUUUAUUAUAUUUUGACGGUCGAGAAUAAUAAUUAGGAGGAAAAGAAGGAUUAUAAAAAAAAGGAUAAAAUUUGGUUGAGAUAAAAUUUAUAAAAUAAUUAAUUUUAAAAUUAAUUAUUUUAUGAUUUUAUUGUUACGUUUUUUUUAAGUUGAAAUAACUAAUUUUGAAAUAGCUAAAAGUUUUGUGCAUUAGUGCUUGGAUUAGGAUUAGUCAUUUGGGAUGGUUUAGUCUAUUUUUUUUCUCAAAUUAAUGUUUUUUACUUAUUCUAAUCAUAGUAGUGCUUAGUUUAGUUAGUUUAAUUUACUCAAAUCAGACAUUAAACAAUAGGUAUUUUCCACUUAAAAGUCAUAUAAACUAACUUUUCCAAAUUUAUGGUCAUUGAUUACUUCUUAAGAUUUUUACAAAUGUUGAGGAAAAAGGGGGCAGCCCGAAAAAAGUCAUAAAAUAUCAUUAAUUAUUCCUAUAACAAAGAAAAUUAAGUUUAUAGUAUUAAAAUGAUAUAAUAAUAUUCUAGUUGAUUUUCAUACUCAAUUAAGUACCGUCGUAUAUAAAGAGAUAAUUUAAAGGAAAGGAAUAAGGUGGAAUUUAGUUGACUUAUUAAAAUUAAAACAAUAAUAUUGAAAUAUUUAUUGAUGGUUACAAUGGAGGGAACAUACAAAAAAAUUAGGUAAGAAUAGUCAAAAUAAUCAAUAUAAGUACAGCUCUCAAGCUGUGUUGAUAAUGACAAGUAAAUCAUAUUAGUAGUAUAAGCUAAAAAAGCAAAAAAGAUUAGAUUUUAAAAGAGAUCCCACCGUAUAUUAGAUAGAUCUAAAUAGGAUUUAUAUUAUAUUAUAUAUUAUUAUUAUAGGACUAAAUGCAACUUUUCUAGAAGCUUAAAAUUCAAAAUAUAAACUUUUUGAAAGAAAUAAAAAAAAUAAAAAUUUAAAAGGACCCUAGUGAUGAGGCCACGAUGAGGGGAUAAUUACGUUUGAAUGAUGUCAUUUAAAUUUAAUUUAUUUUUUAGCUGUCUUUCAUUUGGGCGGUUUUGUAAUUUAAACAGAUGCCGUCCAAUAAAUGCAAUUUUGUCUGCUUUGUGUGUGUUAGUAUUAUUAUGCAAUAAAAAUAAAUCACAUGUUAUAUAAUUCGAUUUGGAUAAUAAUAAUAGGUGUACUAGCUAUAUUGGAUAAUAUUUCACACAAGAAUAUAUUAGACUAUGAUAAUUACGCAAUGAAUGUACAACAACAACAGCAAAAUAUCCGAUGUAUUCAAUCUAGGGAGAGUAAAAUAUAUGUAGUUCAUAUCACUAUCAUUAAAAAAAUAAAAAGGUUAUUUCUGAUACACCCCCAACUCAGAACAAAAGAAGGAAAAUAAAAUUGAAAUAAAACAUGAAAUAGGAUGUAGUAAUUUAAUAAUGUAAUAAAACCACACUGCAGUACCCUACACUAUCAAACUUGGUGCACGCCCCUCACUACAACCCUCCUGCAACUAAUAACAACCUUACCCCAAAGCACUCUUAUCUAUUAAUUCGCAAGCCCUCUAACUUAAUUCGGAUCUUUUAUAACUUUCUAUCUAAGGUCAUGUGCUCAGUAAGCUGUAAUUGAUCCAUAUCACUCUCUCCAGUAUUUCUUCAGCCUUCUCCUACCCCACCUGAAACCUCCAAAUUCCCCAUCACAUGCCCAAAUCAUCUUAACUUCACUUCUCCCAACUUGACCUCCACCAAGGUCAACCCCACCUUCUCCCGAAUAGUCUCAUUCCUAACCCCGUUUCUCCUAGUAAGCCCACACAUUCACCGCAAUAUUCUCAUUUUCGUCACCUUCAACUUUUGAAUAUGAGAGUUCUUAAUCGGUCAACACUCUGCUCCAUAUAGCAUAACCGGACAGACUAUCAUUCCAUAUAAUUUACUAGGCAAAAUGACCUUCUGGACCCCUCUACUAUGUCAGUUUUGUAAGUUGGACACUUCUACUUACAUGUUUGUCAUCUAGACCCUUGAACCCAUCAAAAAAUAAUAUUUCGCACCCUUUGAACGUUGACCUUGCCUAUGUGGCAAGGUCAUGGUGACUAGGACAAAGAGAGUGUAACCACUCACCUAGGGGUGCGAGUGAGGUCAAUUUUUGGUCAAUUUUACAUUAAAUAAUUAAAAAAAAUAAUACUAAAAUUUAACAAAAAAUUAAAAAGGGUUCUUUUUUUUUCCUCCAUCUUUUUAAAUUUAAAAAUAUUUUUAAAAAUUUAAAAAUAAUUUUAAAAUAUUUUAAAAUUUAAAAAAAAAUAAAAAAGAAUACUUUUUUUCCCUCCAUCUUUUUUAGUUUAAAAAUAUUUUUGAAAUUUUAAAAAUAAUUUAAAAAUAUUUUGAAAAAAUUAAAAAUAAUUUAAAAAUAUUUUUAAAAAUUAAAAAAAAAAAUUCCCACCCCAGCCCGUCCCCACCCCANNNNNNNNNNNNNNNNNNNNNNNNNNNNNNNNNNNNNNNNNNNNNNNNNNNNNNNNNNNNNNNNNNNNNNNNNNNNNNNNNNNNNNNNNNNNNNNNNNNNNNNNNNNNNNNNNNNNNNNNNNNNNNNNNNNNNNNNNNNNNNNNNNNNNNNNNNNNNNNNNNNNNNNNNNNNNNNNNNNNNNNNNNNNNNNNNNNNNNNNNNNNNNNNNNNNNNNNNNNNNNNNNNNNNNNNNNNNNNNNNNNNNNNNNNNNNNNNNNNNNNNNNNNNNNNNNNNNNNNNNNNNNNNNNNNNNNNNNNNNNNNNNNNNNNNNNNNNNNNNNNNNNNNNNNNNNNNNNNNNNNNNNNNNNNNNNNNNNNNNNNNNNNNNNNNNNNNNNNNNNNNNNNNNNNNNNNNNNNNNNNNNNNNNNNNNNNNNNNNNNNNNNNNNNNNNNNNNNNNNNNNNNNNNNNNNNNNNNNNNNNNNNNNNNNNNNNNNNNNNNNNNAUAUUUAACUAAUUUUAAUGUAAUAUUUUUUUUUUAUUUUUUUAUUUUAAAAAUGAUUAUUCAAAAAUUUUAAAUUUUAAAAGCAUGAUUAUUCAAAUUUUUCUACAAUUUAUAAAUUUUUCUUAUUUAAUUAAAUUAAUUUUUAAUUUUUUUUUAAAUGAUGUGGCAAAUAUGACUGACGUGGCAGAUGAGACAGCUGACGUGGGAGAGUGUGUGUUACACUCACCAAAAAAGAAUUUAAAAUGUUUUUUAGUAGGUUCAAAGGUCAAGAUGACAAACAUAUAAGUAGAAGUGUGCAACUUAUAAAACUCAUAUAGUAAAGGAAUCCAGAAGGCCAUUUUGCCAAUUUACUAUUAAGAAGUUUGAGAGACCUUCUUAUCAUUAAAAUAGGAAUAGUACUCUGGAAAGUGUGUCAUUAAAUGAAUAAUACUCUCUAUUGUUAAUGUCAUACUUUACUAAGAAUAAUAUUGAAUAAAAUGUACACAUAGGUUAAAACCAGUAAUGGAAUGUACACAUAGGUUAAAACCAGUAAUCCAUUACCAUACAAAAGAUUAGUUUAAUGUAUUGAAAAGUUAAUACAUGUAUUAAUUUAAUGUGUAUUAGUAGUACCUUAUUUGAUAUUUUUAACUUAUGCAUAACUAAUAUUUGCAUUAAUUAUACACUCUAUUGUGUAUUGAGGUGUAUUACUAAUAUCUCAAAAUCCAUGGCAUUAAUAAUGCAAUGAAUCUAAUGCAUGUAUUAACAUGCUUAAAGACACUAUUAUCCCUCAAAAAAAUUUCCACAUCCUUUUCAACAUAUAUAUUGAGAGUAUUACGUGAAUUUUUUUUUGUUAAAUUAUGUAAUUCAUGUUAUUUUUAAUAUAUCGAACCAAACACUGCAUAAAAAAAAUACAAGCAUAGUUGACGCACCAUAUCUUGCAUUAUUGUUAUACACCCUACCAAACGACCCCUAAAGGAUAUUCAAACUACUGCACGUGCAUUACUACAGUUUUUGACAAACACCCUGUUGUUCCUUUCAAUCAACAAUCCAUACACAUAUUCUGCCAGGCUGAUUUUGAAUACUUGAGCCAGCUGAGACUUACCUUUACCCUACUGGAUACAACACCAUGUCCCAAUCUGAAGGAGAGAAAGCUGGCCUGAGAAUCCAGUAAGCAUUCUAUUCCAUAAUCUGAUGGCAAAGUGCCAAUGUACAAAUAAGUGCUCUAUAGAUUCUUCUUCAGUCUGACACGAUACACAAGUUAUACACAAUGGCAAUUCACACUAGUCAUCCUCAUCAAGCUCUGAUUUAAAUGCUCAAAGUUAAGAUGAAUGACACUGUAGCUAUCAAAAACAAUUCUAGAAUAUCAAAUUAUCGCGAUGAAUUGGUUUGUCAAUCUCAUUGAAUAUUGUAAGUAUUACUUAUCACACCCUGUGUUGAUGCUGCUGCAUUCUUUAUGUUAUAAGUGAUUCUCGCGAGGCGCUCCAAGCAAAGUCCUUCGAUUCCUUCCAUUUAGUCUGUCUAAUAUUACUUUUUGGAGAAAUUAGGUUGCAGAUUUCAUAAACAAACGCUGAUCUAAAAUCAAAAUCAAAACUUGAAAUCAGGAUCCCAAAUCCUAUUGGGCAAACGCCUCCAAGAGCCGGUAGAUCAGAUUGAAUGAGUUAUUGAAAACUAAUCUGAUAACCUAUUUACAAACAACAAAUUACUCAAAAACACAAGUAGAUACACAAGGAAGGAAAACAGUUGAUUGAUUAACACAACUUUAUAAGUAAUAUGAUCGAAAUAUUACAAAAUAUAGUGAUCCUCAUUCUGAUCUCAUUUUGUUAAUCUGAUUCAAAGCUGGUUGUAGAAUGUUGUAAGCUACCCAAAGCAAAGCAGGUGUGACAACAAUCAACAAAAGUUGUCCCCUGUUGUCACUUGCAGCAUCAGCAAUCAUCGCGACAUCGCUAGCAGCCGAGGCUUCUGGUGUGUUAAAGAAGCCGGUUGCAGCUAGCCCGGUAAGACCAAGUCCGAUGAUUAUUCCCUGAUUCCUCAUUUUGUUGAUUUGGUUGAGUGCUGGUUGUAGAAUGUUGUAAAGAACCCAUAAGAUAGCCGGGAUCAAAGGAAGUAAUAAGGCCAAACCCCUGUUGUCUCCCUCAGCUAUAUCGGCUAUUUGUUGAGCUGCAAAUGCGGCGUCACAUGAGCUAAGAGUAGAGAAAAUGGCGCCGGCUAUAGCUGUUCCGGUUAAAGGAAUGGAGGAUAAGUUUGAGGGAUUUUGAGAAGAUUUUGAAGUUAAGAGACCUUUUGGGAGAUUUUGGAUGGAGAGAAGGGAGAUGGGUUUUGGCUUUGAUUGGUUGUUGAUAGAUGCUUUGGCGAAGCAUUUGGCAUUGAGCAUGGCCAUGGUAGCUAUGGUGGCUGCCAUUUCUUGAUUUUGUUGGCUAGAAAACUCGCAAAAUUGUGGAUGGUUUGUUUGGUUGAUUGAUAUUAUUAAAGUGAGAAAUAUAUAAAAAGAAGAUAAGACUCAAAGUGAUUUUAAAUGAGAGAACCAAUAGGAAUGUGGCAUUUUAGAUUGUUCUCUUAUCCAGAGAUUGUGAAUUAGAGGAUAUGGACCUCAUAUUUGAUAACACACCAAUGGUUUCUUAUCUUCACUCUCUUUCCAACAACUAAACUAACUAGAAACUUCUAAAAUUUUGCUACAAGUUUCUUCUUCUAGGCACUCAAGAAGUUGUUGGAUUCACUUUUGUGGCCCAAGACUUUUUGAGUUUUGACGGGCCCAAAGAUAGUAAUUUGCAAAGAGGAGAAUUAUGCCUUCUCAGCAAACACAGUACUACAACAUAAUCUAUAUUAGGCAGGCCAGUUGUUGCUCAUUCCAUAUAGUUUACCUUAAAAUCGUGAUCAUCCGUCUCUGAUGACAUUCAAAGGAGGAUUUAAAAGAAAGUAAGAGCACUAAUCAAUGUUACUACGUAUUGAUGACAUGCUUUGUGUAUUGCAUGGGCCUAUUUAUCAACUAUUUAGUUUUAAAACAUGAUUUGAUAAAGUCAAGUCUGCUUGCAGUUCAGAGGGACUUAUUUGGCACAAUGCAGUGUGUAGUGUAAGAUCGAACUGACCUUUAUUGGUGAGAGUUAGAAGUGUAGUCAGCAGCAGUGUGUAGUUAGAAGUCUGCUUGGUUGGUGGGAGUUUGGAUGUAGUACAUACAGUGCAUCUACUUGAUUACUUCGUUGGUGUAUACAACUAGGGACGCUACCUUUGAUGAUUUAUAAAAUUACGGACCAAGUUCUGUAUCGACAGCGGUUUUUUCUUGUUUGAUCAGUCCGGACACCAGACAAUAAAAUGACAUACGCACAGGAAGAUUACGGAAGCAUCGCCAGUUUAGAUAACACUUCUCCAUUAUAUUUAUAUGUAACAUGUAGUUAAACAAAAUUUACAUACAAACAACACUAGGAACCCGCCAAGAAACUGCCCAGGAGACUUCUCAAGAGUUUAUCCCUGAUUCCAAAUCACAGGAUCCAGCCAAACAGACUCACAUUUGAUUAUCUGAUUCCACUGAGCGUAACCACGAGAUAUUCCGGGGUUUGAUUGAACACAGGAUCUGUGCCACUGGGUGGUGUAAUCCUUUUCCGCAUAAUUGACUCGAAAAGAGUAGGCUCCCUCUUCCUACCACCUCUUGGUCUAGAUAGGAAUAGCUCAUCAGCCUCUUCAAAAUCUCCCUGUAAAGGACGAUCAAAACACCUUUAAGUCACUCAUGAAUACUAGAAACAAAACUGAUCCGAAAUGCAUAUUGUGCAUUCAAGUAACAAAUACGUCCUACUUACAGGAGUAUAAACAUGGCAGCCUGAUUUUUCAUGUUUAUCUCUCACAUGCUUGAAGGCAAAUUUCAUACCACAACCAGAAAUGCUACACGAGAAUGGCUUAGCUCCCAAGUGCACGGAUUUGAUGUGUUGAGCAAGAUUUGACCUCUGUAUUUUCAAGCAGCAAAAAAAAAGGUUAAAACUGUUGCUCAACAACUUGAUACAGAGCUGGCUUUGGUUAAUAUUAAAACUGUCACAUAGCUGUCUAUGCAUUUCUCCUCAGACUUGUAAUGAAUUAGUGCUAUCGCUUUCUAGACUGAUCACACUAAUGAUCCUUCUAACAGAAGGGAACUUUAACUACUCGAAAAUGUAGUAGUCCCUUACCGUGGAGAAAGUGUGCUGACAAUCCUGGAACUCACAUUUUAUUCUUUCCGAUAUAGGACCUUCUUCAUGAGUGCGAAGAUGCCGCUUAAUAUUCUUCUUCAAUUGCUUGGUCCCACAUAUUUCACAAACAAUAUGUAGGUGGCAACUCUCUAUGUGUUCCUUGAGACAUUUCUCAUUUGUGAAAUGCUUCAUACAUCCUGGCUCCAAACACAGCGCCUCAAUCGACUCCAACUUAACUGCAGUAAUACAUGGAAAUUGUGGUCUCACUCAUCUUACUGGAAGUCUUCUAUAACAGAAGUAAAAAAAUAUCAAUAAUUCACAGAAAACUAGAUUUCUGAAGUUUUGACUCACCAUGAGAAUCUUCGUGUUUCCUUAAUUUGGAUGCAUAUUUGAACACCUUUCCACAUCCAGCUUCAGAACAGACAUACUCCUUUGGAAGAUCAACCUUCGGCGAGGCAGACUGUUCAUGCAUCUCUUUGACAUGCCGAGUCAUGUUGCCUUGAAAACUAAAUGUGCUUUUGCAGCCAUCGACAGGACACUCAAACAACUUCCCUUGGUGGAGCAAGAGAUGCCUCGUCAAGUGAUCCUUUCUACGGUAGCGGGAUUGACAGUCAUCUACAUGACACAUGAAUGGCCUCUGUUCAUGCAAAAUAUCAACAAGAAAGCAUUUUAAGAACUUCCCAAUCUAUGGAGGUCCUAGACCAAAGUGCACGCAUGCUAAUGGAGAAAAAAAGAUCUUUUUGUAAUUGGGGAGGAGGGGAACUAAGGAGAGUCUCGAACCACCAAGAUAAUAAGGCGUGAUUGAGGCCUCACUUGAUGGAGCUUCUCAGGAGGUCCCCCUUCCUGAUACUAAUCCAGUCAAGGAAAUAUACCUGCCUCCUGCAUUUUGGAGUUCUUUAUUUGGGAUCCAAUGCGUCACACCUUCUCAUAAUUCCUCAAUGUUUCUCAAAAUAUCUGAAUCUGCAAAGUCAUUAGUACUAAACGCAUACAAAAGACAACAAAUCAGAAAACAUUAAAGCUUAUUUAACCAAAAAAACUUAAAAGCCUGACAACAUAUCAAACGAAUAAGUGUACACAUGAUACCUCGAUUGAAUGACUUUGCAUAUGCUGCUUUAAAUGAGCAGGCUUCUGAAAGCUCACACCACAUUCCUCACAAACAUUCAUUUUUGAGCCCUCUUUUCCUUUUGCAUCUUCAGUACCCUCCUCUUUUCGGUUCUCAAUUUCAUCCUAUUAGUAAAACAACACACACUUCAGCUUUCCUUUCCUAUUAACUAAUCAAAUCAGUACCCUCUCCAAAUACACAUUCAAAAAUAUAAGCUCAUAAUAAUAGUUCAACAUUGAAAUUCAAACGAAACAGGUCACGCACUAUAUUUCCCUCAGUACGAUAUCUAAAUAAUAAUCCUUACAUAAGCUAAUCAAACUUAUCGCAUUUCAUGGCUAAUGAAACUAAUAACCAGUAAUCGUCAAAUUUACACAAACUGAGCUCCUACAACGACAAUAAUACUAGUUUAACCUUCAAACUGAGAUCCACAUUACAAUCUCAAAAUUAUAAUCCUUAAAUAAACUAAAUCAAACAUUCACCAUAAUUCAUGGAUAAUGAAACUAAUAAUUACUGAUUGUCAAGUUUACACUAAAACUGUGCUCCUACGAAGACAAUAAUACUAGUUUAGCAUUCAAACUGAGCUCCACAUUAUGAUCUCAAUCAUUCAUCAUAUUUCAUGGAUAAUGAAACUAAUAAUUACUGAUUAUCACUUUCACACUAAAACAAAGCUCAGAAAAAACAACAACAAUACUAGAUCUAUAUGAUGCAGCUCAAUGAACAAUCACCUUGUGAUGAGACUGAAUAUGAGAAGAAAUCAGGGAUUUUUUGGAGCGGCAAAGGCCACAAAAUUCACAGUAAUAUCGUCUAAUGUCUUUAAAUACUAUUUUUCUUUGCUCUUCUCCUUCUUCCCCCAUUGCGCCCAAUUUUCAGCUGCAAAUUUCAAAACCCUAAUUUUGGUCGACUGUUGAUCUAAGCUCUUCUAUUUAUAGUCCAGGGAAAGUUGGAAAUUGUUUCAACAUCCUUCAACUUAUGAAAUAUGAUAGUUUCAACCCUAAAAGGUUUUCCUAACUCGAGUUUCACCACGAAUUAAUAAAAGUUACUCCCUCUAUCCCAUUUUACUCGCCCCAAAUUGGGAUGACACAGUUAUUAAGAAAAAUAAUAAAUAACAUGGCUAGUUUACCAUAAUACCCUUAUUAAAUGAUGUUUAUAUUUUAAUUUAAAGAAAAAAUAAUUAAUACAAAGGGUAAAAUAUGAAAAAAAAAAAAUUGUCUUGUCUUGAUAAGUAAAAAAGGACAAAUAAAAUUGGACACCAAAUUAGAAAAUUUGGGACGGGUAAAAUAGGACGGAGGGAGUAUGUUUGUUUUGGACACUAUUAAGAAAUAUUCAAAAUUUUGAGACAUAUUUUUGGUCAUGGAAUGAACUUUAAAUUAAAACAAAAGAAAUAUGAUCCUCCUAAGAACAUUUUUUUAAAAAAUAAAUGUUGUUUUUGGACACUUAAAUUGUUUUGAAUAUCUUUAAUAAAUACUAUAUAAAUGUAAUUUAAGCAACGUGUGAAUAAAAAUUAGUACAUACGAUUUGUGAAUUGAAUGUUGUGAUUUAAGGACUUGAUUAUUAUAGGUGAAGCAAUUUAUUUUUUGUUUUGUGAUUGAACAAAUCAACACGGUUAAUGGAGGUUUAAUAGGAUCACAUUUGGUCCUAUUUGAGAUUCAAUAAACAUAUAUGUGAGUUAGUUUGCUGAAAAAUAUAUUUAACCUCAACUGUUAACGAAUAUGAGUCAGUUUUUUAACAAAUAUAUUAACCAAGUGUUUGAAAUUGUUGGUUGAUAGUCAAUAGAUGUAUUGGUACAUGAGAUCCAAGAAGUUUGUCUCAGAGAAGUCGACGUCGACGCCUUCAUGGUCUCCCUAGCUGUGCAAUUGUUGAAACAAACUUGAGCCUGUACUGUUCUUGAGGCAUGCGACGCCUGCACGACUAGCAGCUUGAGCAUAUUUGCUCCUCUAUCGUAGUUUGUGGAAGCAAAAUCCACUGUAUAACAGCCAGCAAAACAAACCUAGUUCGAUGCUUAUGCCCUAUGCCAACUAGUCUUCGUAAGGCCAAAACCUCAACCUUUGAUUCUGUCGGGAUUUUGAGCUAUGCUUCAAACAUCUGGACCAGAAAUCAGCAGGCACACGGUGCAUUUACAAAACUUGAGUUGUCUUCGGUAGAAGGACAAGCUCUGUUCACAAUAACAGACUAGUUAUAAUGCAUUACUCGAAAAAUAUCAUACCUGACACAAUUCUAUGACAUUGACAUGGCAGUUGUUUCUGCACAGUCGCCUGGAUUUGAAAAGGAUCUUCAAUCAUCCCUAUAUUGUACAAGUCACAAGCAUCAAAGAAUAGUUAUGAUCUCACGUAACAAUCUUUCCCUUCCUCGGUAGAACCAAGUCAAAAUAAGGAAUAAAAGUGAUUCAAUUUAGAAAAAGCAAGAUGAAGAUGGAGGAUUUUGUUAGCGACUUUCUAGUUUCUGCUACUAGGAAUAAAACUUAACCUCCAUGUUUUCAGACAGGCUCUUUCACCGUAAGGCUCUUUGUUAAAAUGAUCUUGGUCCAGCUUUCUAACUGGUGAUUAUAAUGACGUUGUGAAAGCUAGCAAAACUAACUUAUUCCUAAAAUCGCUCCACACCACUAUGUGCUUACAACUAUGAUUAUACUAGCUUUCCCGUUUCACAAUUUAAAAGAUUGACUUGGACGGAAAAAAUGCAAAUCAACAAAAUCUGCCAGAAAUAGAACUUGAAUAUACAUUGAUCAGUAUGAACAAAAUGUGAUCUACAAUGCGCAAGAUUACACACAAUUGAAGGCGAGGAAGAAACCAGAAUCUUUCAGCACAGGCGCCAACUGAAAAAACAAAGGUUCCUGGCAAGUAUAAUGCAGCAGAGAAGCACAAAUACAUAAUUUUAAGUCAGUUAGCAGAAAAUUCCAGCUAACAAUACCUACACUCUCUCUGCCGAUUUCCAUCUCAGAAAGUCAAUCAGCUGUGCCUUAGAGAAGUAACCAUUCUAGUUCAAAUUGUCAUUUUCGUCGUGAUCAGUAAAACACUCUAAAAUUGGAAUGACAAAGUCACCCUCCCUGCUUUCCCAUCCAUUGUCGUCGUCUGUCAUGUCUUUAGUUUCAUCCUUCAGUUCCCUUUCCGUUCUCAACUCUCUGGUAUGCCGGUUCCCCAACAAGAUAAGCUCCAACAUCUUUCUUCUCAAAUCAUAAAUAGGAUUCGGCUCAAUCAAACGCCCUUUACUAUAUGCCUCUCUAAGAAAAACAAUCUCAGUAAUCCCUUUAGUCGAUAUGUAAAAUAUCCCAGGAUGCUUCAACAACAGCUCACGUAUAUUAACUACAAUGUCAAGAUCCUUCUUAAAAUGUGCCAACCUUUCAACCGGCACCGACUUCUCAACAGUCAAGCUCAAAACUUCAUGAAUGACCGCCACAGCUCGCUUCUCAUACCGCUCAACCCCUCCAAAACCACGCUUCCCAAUCACUCCUGACCUCGAUAUCAACUCAUCACACCUUGAAGAUGGUUCCGUUGCUUCAGUCGUUCGUUCUCUUUCGUAAGGCUUAACAUAAGGAAGCCUUUGCCAAUUCUUCAACUUCUCCUUAAAACUUGGUUCUUUCUUAAACAGGAAAUGCAUAUUUAACCUCAAAUUCACUCAACCAUUUCUCAACAUACUCCUUCUUCCUCCAAGAUUCAAUCUUUGCCACCCCAAAACUCUCACUAACACCAUUUCCAUGAAUUAACUCAAUAAUUUCUAAAUCAACCAUCCUAAAAACUUGAUUAUACUUAAUUAUUAUCAAGUCCUUGAAGUUUUCAGGCAAACCCAAUUCAGUCCUCAUUAAUCUAAGAGCAUGCAAAUGUACUCUACCAUUAACAGACAUCAUUAAAAUCUUCCUUAUUCUCAUCACACUUUCCUCUUCAUUUUGUAACACAACAUCUUGUUCUUCCUUAAGAAAAUUUACAAAUUUGUCCCUAAACUUACAACACAAAUUUCGCUUAACAGGGUGUGUAAAUACCUCGAAGAUAUGAGGAUAUUUCCGGAAAAGAUCACCGGCGGCAAUGGUGGUAAUUCCGGCAUGUGGGGCCCAUUUAGAGAGUAACUGAACAGAGACAAAAGGACCGCGCUUUUUAGCGGAUACGAGGUCGUGGAGGUUGAGGAUGAGCUUGAGUCUCCGGUAGUGAGCUGCGAGGUUGUCGAGAUUCGGGUCGCGGACCCGGUUUUCUAAGCGGGUUUGGGCUGAGUUUGCGGGUUUUUUCCACCGGGUUUGGGUCGUGGAGUUGAAUGGUCCGAAUGAAAGUGGAGCUUUUGGAGGUAUAUUCGCCGGUUUCUUCCACCGGAGUUGUAAAACGCCGAUCAUUUUGCCCCUAAAACAAUUAAUAUUAACGGAAAUACCCUUCGACCACACUUUAUCAAUUUAGAACGUAAAUCGCAUUGAUCAGGAACGCGAUUUACGGUCUAUUUGCAUUUAUUUGUUUUUUUAAGUGUAUUUCAGCACUUAUAUGAUGUUUGGGCGAAAUAAAAAUAUAUUUUAGAUAUUUAUUUUUAAGCCAAAGAAAUAAAAACAAGUUAAAAGUCAUAUUCCUUUCUUCCGAUUAUUUUUACUUUUUCAUAUUUGACUUGAAAUGUUUUAAAAUAUAAUAAAUAGAAAUUAAUUUUAUUAUAUCACUCGAAGUCAUCUAAAUAUUAAAAGUAUUUAAUAACAAGGAUAAACAUACACAAAAUGCUAAGUUACAUUUUAAUUUUUUAAAAUUAAACAACUAUUUUAAGGACCCGUUAAACAUAAAAAACAAUUCAAUAUCUUUUAUCAAGUUGUAUUCGGAAAAACAAUCAAAACUACUUUUCACUUUUUAUAUUUUUUCUGAAAAAAUCCUACGUUUGUGAUGUGGAUAGGUAUAAGUUAUAGUACUCGAGUAGCCUGAGACGUAGGAAUAGGGUAGGAAUCUUAAUAAAUGAAGAGCUUAUGGACGGGGUAGUGGAGGUUAGGAGAGUAUAGGUUGAUGUCGAUUAAGCUAGUCAUUGGAGGGUCUAUGAUGAAUGUUAUUAGUGUUUACCCUCUGCACGUAGGCUUGGAUGAGAAGAAGAAUGUCUUUUGGGAGGUAUUAGAUGAGAUGGUGAGAGACGCUCCGAGCUUGGAUAAGCUUUUCGUUAGGGGGAUUUCAAUGGGCAUAUUUGGGAGGUAUAAGAUGAUAGGUUGUGGAUAACGAAUUCAAGCUUUCUGAAGAAGGGGAUCACCUUAUUACCUUUCGUAGUUCGGUGGUCAGGACUCAGAUAGACCUUUUACUCCUUAGAAAGGCUGAUAGAGCAUUAUGUAAAGAUUGUAAAGUCAUAUUUUGCGAGAUUCUUUCGACCCAACACAAGCUUCUGGUGACGGACUUGGUAAUCAGAGAGGGCAGAAAGAAGAGGGGAGUGGAGAACCAACCCAGGAUUAAGUGGGGUAGCUUGACUUUGGCCAGUGCGUCGAAGAUAGAGUAGAGAUUGAUGACUCGGAGGGCUUGGGAGAGUAGAAGAGAUAUGGAUAGUAUGUGGGAGAUGACUAUCAGUUGUAUUAGGGAGAGAACUAAAAAGGUGUUAGGUGUUUCAAGAGGUAGAUCGGGCAAGCACCAAGGGGAUUGAUGGUAGAAUGAAGAAGUCAACAGGAAGGUGGAGAAUAAGAAGGUGGCCCAUGCUAAAUUGGUGGAGAGUAAGGAUGAAGAGUAGAUACAGACGAAUAAAGAGGAGUAUAAGUUAGUUAGGAAAGAGGCUAAGGUAGCAGUUACAACGGCGAAGACAAUGACUUUCGAGAGCUUGUAUACGACUUUAGCAAGUGAAGUAAAUCAAGGGGGGAAGUGUUGGUUGAGGAUGCCCUCAUUCGGAAGGGGUGACAAUCUUAUUUCCAUAGACUUUUGAACGACGAGGGGAUGAAGAUUUCGUGUUGAGGGACUCGGAGAACUCAAAGAAGUGUAGCGAUUAUGGUUAUUGUAGGCGUAUCAAGGUGGAGGAGGUCAAGGAGACUACUUGCAGGAUGUGUAGGGGUAGGGCGACUGGGUCAGACAGAUUCUGGUGGACUUUUGAAAGAGCAAUGACGGGGCAAGUUUGCAGUGGCUGACGCGAUUAUUUAACACAAUUUUUAGGGCCAAAAAAAUGCCCGAAGCGUGGAGAUGGAGUAUGAUGAUUUCUGUAAAUAAGAUAAAUAAGUUGAAUCAAACUCUACAAAAUAAAUUAAAAUAAAAAUAAAUUAUAUCCAAAUACUUUAAUUUUAAUUUAAUUUUAAUUUUAUUCUUCAUAAUUUAUGUUAGAUAAAUACUUAGUUUAUUACGAAUAAAAAUAUUAGUCUUUACUCGGGCAAUAUUGACCAUUUGUCGUCAUUUAGUCCCUAACGCUUCCUUCACCAGCAGUGCCAACCCACCUCAAAGAGAUGGCUUUACUGUUCACCAUCAGCAGCCCUCCCACUACUCGUCUUUACCUUCAUUCAUCCUCUACUUUUGGUCACCCAGGUUAUUUUCUUGAAUUACCUCUUUAUGUGUAUUAAUUCCUCUAUGGUGAUUUUUGUUUCUUGUUGUUUUAACUGAGCUUAUUUUGGGAUUCUUUUAUUUUGUGUUUUGUUGGAGUUUGCAAUUAUUUUCUUUAGGUUCUGAAUUGGAGUGGAAGAUGAGCUACAGGUUUAUUAUGUUCUUUUGCUCUUCAUCCUUGAAGUUAUUGUUGUUUCCUGCUAAAGUUUGUUGCUUUAAGAUGAAUUGAUUAGGGUCUUUACUAGAAUGCUAAUGAGUUAGUUAGUCUUUUGUCAUACCCUACCCUUGUCUAUUUGGAUUUUGGGUCAGUAUGUGCCUAUGUGGGGACGAGCCGAGGGUCUAUUGGAAACAACCUAUGUAGCUCACCUCUGAGGUAGUAGUAUGGACUGCAUAAAUUUUACCCUCCCUAGACCUCACUUUGUGGGUCUGUACUACUGGGUUUGUUGUUGUUGUUGUUGUUGUUGAUGUGGAGAUCUAUGGUGCUUGGACUCUCCAAAAAUGUUGAAACACUCAUGUUAGAUCCUCGAAAAAUGUACUAUUUUUGGAGGAUACGGCAUUCACCCGUUGGUAAUUUGUUGAAGAGUUCUCGGCUUUUUGUAGUUUCUCGUCCUUUGAGUUAGGUUACUAUAUGUUGUUUUUUGUACUUCGAUUAUUGUAUUAUUUUGUAAUUAUAGUUUAGGAUGAUUUGUCAUGUCUUCUAUAAUAAUUUUUUCUUUUUCCAUACUACUUUGGAAUAAGGUUCUAUGGUGUAGUGGUUAGCACUCUGGACUUUGAAUCCAGCAACCUGGGUUCGACUCCCGAUAGGACCUUUACAGGCUUUCCUGGGGGUCUAUCGGAAACAACCUCUCUCUACUUCAUCUGAGUUAGUGGUAUGGACUGCGUACACUUUAUCCCUUGGCCCCACCUUGUCGGAAUACACUGGGUAUGUUGUUGUUGUCUUUUUCUGUACCGCUUUGUACUGUUUUUUCCUUUGAGCUGAGGGUGGUAACAACCUCUCUACCUUCGAGGUAGGGGUGGGGUCUGCGUACAUUCUACCCCCAAACCUCACUAUGUGGGAUUGCACUGAUAUGCUGUUGUGGUUGUAAUUCUAGGCCUCUAGCAAUGGGUGGGGAGUACGAUUGGGUUUUAAAGUUUUUUACAUAUAUAUGUUAUAGUAUGUUGGCGUAAAGGUGCAUCCUUCACUGUUUAUCUUAAAUGUUGGUAUUUGUGUUGUGGGGGUAGACAGACGCGGAUUCAAAUUUGAAGUUUAUGGAUUCCUACACCAAUCUCAAGUUAAUACUAUGAUAAUAACUGUGUUUAUAGUCAUAUACAUGAACCCAUAACCAGGCCUCACAGUCCAUCUUGGGGGCGGAAGGGGGUAGCAAAUCAAGGCCCACCCUUUAUAGUGGUCUUUAUCUUAACAAUAAAAAGGGCAGUCCGGUGCACAAAAGCUACCAUUAUGCGCGGUGUCCGGGGAAGGGCCCCACCUCAAGGAUGUAUUGUACUCAGCCUUACCUUGCACUUCUGCCAGAGGCUGUUUCCAAGGCUUAAACCUAUGACCUCCUGGUCACAUGACAAUAACUUUAUCAGUUACUCCAAUGCUCCCCUUCGGUCUGUAUCUUAACAAUAAUCUGCAAAAUUUGAGGUUAAUGUAUCUUUUUAUGUGAUUGCUUUUGUUUUUUGUUUAUCAUUCUCUAAUGAGGCAAAGUCUUAUAUCAUUCCAUUAAAUACUCAAAUGUUCAUCGUCAUGCAUCUGCAGUGCAGUGUCUUGACUGCUCUUCGUACCUUUGUAAAAUCAGUGGUUAAAUUUGAAAUUGGUCGUCUGAGCCUAAGUUGCUCGGACUCUCCAAAAAUGUUGCCACACCCGUGUCCGAUCCUCCAAAAAUGCACUAUUUUUGAAGGAUCCAACACACACCCGAUGAUAUUUUUGAAGAGUCCGAGCAACAUAGGCCUGAGCUUUCACUAAUAAGUACUAAUUAUUAAAGAACUUUAGAGCCACUGCAUGAGUUAACACCGUGCAUCAUCUUCCUCUCUGUUGUUCAUGUUAUACAACAUAAAAGGUUUUUAACUUUGCAAUUCAUGUUUUAUUAGUCUCCAGGUUCUGCAACAAUCCCAUCGCUUUGCAAACGAAGUCUUAUGUCAAUUACUAUAUUCAAGCACCCUUUAUCUUCAAAGAGAAAAGUGUCUUGUUUGUUAAGGUAGCUACUGAUGUUGAUAACGGGGAUUCUAAUAACACGGAGAGCGAUGAGGAAAGUCUGUCUCUUGAUAACCUGCCAUUGGAAUCUAAGCUUCAACUGAAGCUUGAACAGAAGAUGAAAAUGAAGUUUGCGAAGAACAUCAAACUACGAAGGAAGAAACUAGUUAGGAAGCGCCGCCUUAGGAAGAAGGGGAGAUGGCCACCUUCAAAGUUGAAGAAGAACAAGAAUGUGUAGUCUUAAUUUCCUUCUAUUGUCACAAAUUCGCAAUUCGCUUGCCUUGACGGCAAUUUCUUCAAACUUGUUCAUAAAAAUACAAGGAUAAAUGAGCUUCUGAACUGUGAGUUUGUACUUGUUUAGUUGAUACUUCAUAGACAAGUCUCUUUUUAUUCCUUAGUCAAACCCACUAUUAAUUGGAUUGGCAUAUCCUUGUUCUAAUAUGAUUGGUCUCAUGAUACUCUUUUUCUCUUUUCCUUUUCCUAUUUGAACUAGGAGUUCUUUACGUACUUGUGCUUGUUUCUCCACCAAUCUAUAAAUAAUAACAUACCCACACUAGCACAACAAAGUUUUACAAUUACUCAUAGAGCACAACAAAAUUUUACAAUUACUCAUAGAACGACAAUUUGGCAGCGUGGUGGUGCAAGAAGCAGCGAGAAUAAUUGCUAACAUACCCACACUAGCACAACAAAAUUUUACAAUUACUCAUGGAACGACAAGGUGGUGCAAGAAGCAGCGAGAAUAUGUUCCACAAGAUAUCAUACUUUUGAGGUUGCCGGUAAAAUCUCGCGAUUCAAGUGUGUAUCCAAGUUGUGGUUUUCUGAAAUCUCUAGUUCUCAAUUUGCGAAAGCACAUUAUAAUGUCUCAACUAGUCUCCUAUCGAAUUAUAUAGACUAUUUGUUCCGUCAUGUAUCCAAGUUGUGGUUUUCUGAAAUCUCUAGUUCUCAAUUUGCGAAAGCAUAUUAUAAUGUCUCAACUAGUCUCCUAUCGAAUUAUAUAGAUCCCUCUAGAAUGCAUUUCUUGGUGGCCCAUUGAAGAAUAUAUUCAUGAGAGUUCAGUUCUAGAAAAAAAAAAAUCUGUACUUUCUUGAAAGAACAGAAAUUGUACGCUUGUUUUCACUACUAAGAAUGAAAGAACACGCAUUUCUUGGUGGCCCAUUGAAGAAUAUAUUCAUGAGAGUUCAGUUCUAGAAAAAAAAAAAUCUGUUAAUUGUACGCUUGUUUUCACUACUAAGAAUGAAAGAACACGCCUCUGAUAGGAGAUAGCCUAUCUGCCAUUUUUUUAAUUGUGAAUGGUAAUUUUUCAACAUACAUACAAAAAUAUUAUUUAGUGUUCUAUUUUUAAAAGAUAUAUAGCCUUUAACUUCACGUAUUACUCCCUUCGUCCCAAAUUAUGUGUCAUCAUUUCCUUUUUAAUCCGUCCCAAAAUAAGUAUCGUCUUUUCUUAUUUGGCAACUUUUUAAAGGCACAAUUAUCCUUUUACCCUUAUUGGUCCCACUUAAUUAAAAAAAAAUAUUGACACAUUUUUUGAUAAAGAAUAAUUUGGUAAACUUUACCAAGUCUUCCCUUAUUUCUUAAAUUCCGUGCCCGGUCAAAUGGUGACAAAUAAAAUGAGACGGAGGGAGUAAUAUAUUAAUAUGCUUAUUAAUAAAAGUAAUAUUAGUUUUAGUAAAUAGUAAUAUUAGUUUUAGUAAAUAAGAUGUUAGUCAUUUGUUUGAAAUGCAUAACUUUGGAUAUUGUUGUUAAAACCUUAUUUAUUAAGAUAAAAUUUGAGUUGUUUAGUUUAAAGCUAAAAUAUUUCUUUUAAAAAUGAGAACUUUUUCCUUUUUUUUUUUUAAAAAUUAUUUUUAGAUAAUUUUUAAAAAUGUAUUUCACAAUCUUCAUUAUUAGUCAAGUGAAGUUGAAAUCAUAGAGUUUAUUAUUAAAAUUUUUUAGGUCUCAAAAUUUUAGGGGUCUAAAGCGAAUACUUUACUAGCCUUACCCUUUAGCCACCCCUGAUUUCUUGAAUUGAUGAAGGUUUGGUAAUUUCUUGAAUGGAUAUGGAGGGAGUAAGUACUCUGAAUAAAAAAUAUUAGAUUACAUAUCUAUAUAGGGAGAAAAGGGCAGAAAUGAUCCCUUAACUAUAUAAGUUAGUCUAAAAUGGUCCCUUAACUAUAAACGUAACAGUUUUGGUCCUUUAACUAUCCAAAAAUUUAUCAAGUUUAGUCUUUAUAUAUUCUUGUAUAUUUUUAUACAAACAACCGAAAUUUAUGGGGUGGUGUGGGUGCGGUGCAGUGCGUAUUUUAGAUUAUGCAAUGCAUAUUUUAGGCUAUGUGGGUGAGGUGCGAGUGUGAGGUGGGUUGAAGUAAGUUUUUUCUUUUUUAUGUAGUGGGGGCGGAGUUGAUUGCGGGUAUAUACGGGUUUAAAUUAAAAAAAAAAAUCAAAAUUAUUAUUAUUCUUAUGAAUCUACCUAAAAUUAUAUAUAUUAUUUACUUCAAAUUUUAUUAUACUUAAAACGACGUACCUAACACUAUAAAUAAUAAAUUUCAUAACUUUUUCUUUUCAAAUCAGUAAAAUAAUUUUAUAACUCAAAAUGUCAAAUAAAAGUUUAAAGGUUUUGCUUACUAAAUCACUUUGCAGUGCAUAACUUAUUUAAUUUAUCUAUAUCAAGGACUUCAAAAUAUUGUGGUUUCCAAUGAAGUUAUAAAUUUUAUAAAAUAAAAAUGUGGAGCGGUGCGGUGUGGGUAUUCAUGGGUAUGAGUGCAAGGCGAAUUUAUACGAGUUUAAAGGUGAUGCGGUGCGAUUUUUAGACUCGCGGAUUUAGAAAAAAACUCGCAUCACACCCGCAUCGCACCACCCCAUUGCCAUCCUUAGAACUAGUGUUUAUAUUAAAAAAUAUUCAUAAUGCUGAGAUAAUGUAAUAACAAGGAAAUGACAGAAAAAAUUAAAACACAUGAUCAAUCAAUUAACAAUAGUAUUAUUCACCUCCUCAGUUUGAAAGUGGAUAGCAUACUUCACCAAAUCGAGUUAAUUCGAUAGACUGAUUACGGUGUCUAAAGUGUUGUCUUUUUUAGUUUUAAGCUAUUUUUUGACAAAAGAAAUUCGCGGAAAAGGUGUUGAAGAGAGAGAAACAAUGUAGAAAUAGUGAUGGAGAAAAUCUAACGGAAGUGUGAAUUUCCGUUAAUAUAAAUGCCGGUUGUUUGUAUAAAAAUAUACAAGAAUAUAUAAAGAUUAAACUUGAUAAGUUUUUGGAUAGUUAAAAGACUAAAAUUGUUAAGUUCAUAGUCAAAUACUUGUAGAUAUUAGAGAAAUUUUUAAUAUAUAUAAAGAGUCUGAAUACAAGUUAUGAGUACGUUCCUCUAAGUUAUGUGUUCUAUUAUGAUUUUUCUUCUAGGACUGAAAAAAGGCCUUCGUACUUUAUUAGUAUAUGAAUAUGUAUGUGUAUUUCCUAUAGGUGCUCCCAAAGACAUACAUACAUGUAUAAUUUGAGUUGAAUUCUUAUAGUAUAAAUGUAGAAACACUUUUUGCAGACGAUAUACAUUUGAUUAUUUAUAGGUUCUGAUAGACCCCCCAACUUGAAGUUUUAUGGUUCCCUUUAUAUAUAUAUAUAUAUGUAACUAAAUAUAUCUAAAAUCAAUUAUGUAAGCCAAAUGCCUAAAGAUCCUUAAGUGUGAUAUGGUGGAGCAAACUUCAGCGAGACAAUUGAAUUUAUAACGAGGUGUAUGUGAUGUCCAUAUAUAGAACAAAGAAAAGGAUGGAUGGAAAUCUAGUACUAGUUGAGUAUAUAUUUUAGACUUGUUAGAGUAUGUUAAUAUCAUUAUUCUUAUUGUUAUUAUUAUGUUAUGAAUUUGACUUACUUUUAAUUGUAUUUUAUUUAGAUUUAAUUCUUCAAAUUGUCACUCAACUUAUAGAAGUAUACGACUAAAGUAAUUUUUGAACUUCUUUCGAACAAUACUAUUACUUACCUUAAAGAAAAAUCUCAUUAAAGUAACUUUCGAUUUUUCUUUUCUGAAUAUGAUCAUCAAAUUAUAGAGAAGUAGUCUGACUGUAUCAGUAUUACCACUUUCCAAUCACAUCACACAUGAAAUAAUUAACGAUUGGUAUCAGUAGUACCAUGAGUGGUCAUUUAAUUUUUUUUUUUUUGUUUUCUCAUAAACAGUAAAUGCAAAAAUUAGUAGUAGUAUAAUAUUUCAUCAUUGAGUUUGUAUUAAUUAAUUUUUUUAAGAAAAAGUAACGAAUUUAGUCAAAUUAAAGUUGGAUUUCCUUGUUCUGAUUGGAUUAGUAUGUAGGAUUUCUUUUCCUUUUCCUAAUUGACUAGGGAGUCUUUUUCGUAUCUAUAAAUAAUAAUAAUAAUAAUAGUAAUAAGGUAGCCAGUAGCCACACUAGGUAUUGAAUGGUGACAAGAGAAUUAAAGUUAGUCAUGGAACAACAAUUUUGCAGCGAGGUGAAAGAAGAAGCGCUCUAUUGCGAUUCAAGUGUGUAUCCAAGUUGUGGUUUUCUGAAAUCUUUAGUGCUCAAUUUGCGAAAUCACAUCUCAAUGUCUCAACUAGUCUCCUAUCCAAUUGUAGACUACUUUAUACUGUUCUCCCUCUACCCUAUAUAUGUUCUUUGGACGAUUAAAUAACUCCAAUCCCCCUUGAUCGUAAUUUUAACAACUGGGGUUGUUGUAAUGGAUGGAUUUGCUGCUCCACAGAACCUACAAAGCCAAGGUUGUGGAAUCCAUCAACAAAGAAAGUCCGGUACAUUGGAAGGUCGGGUGCUUAUAAUGAAUGUUCCAAAACUGUGUAUGGAUUCGGGUAUGAUGAAUUAACUGAUGAUUACAAAGUGGUAGAAAUAAUUGAUCCAAGAUUUUUGUGCAGUAUAAACAUUUAUAGUGUAAGGAGGAAGUGUUGGAAGAGGUUAAGUGAGAGUCCCAAAUUAGUUGGUAAAUACUGUUAUCUGGUGAAUGGAGCUCUUCACUGGGAGGCCUUCCCUAAGCACAAUAGGAAAAGGAGUAAUCUUCCUAGUAGUAUUUUAUCGAUAAACCUAUCAACAGAGGCAUACCAAGAGUUGGAUUUCCCUCAACCUGAACAUCAGCUUAGUCAUGAACCAAUCGAUACAAGAAUAGGGGUACUAAAGGAUUGUCUUUGUGUUUGUUUCUACUCUUCUUUCAAUCGAGUGCAAGUCUGGAUGAUGAAGGAAUAUGGUAUGAAAGAAUCGUGGUAUAAGUUUGCGUCCAUUCCACAUAUGUUAGUUAGGGGGCGACAGUGUGUACCACCCAUAUGGUUGUUUGAGAAUGGUGAGAUUCUACUCAUUCAUGGGUAUAAGCUGAUGACUUACAAUCCAAGUGAGGGUAACUUCAAAAGGUGCUUCCGUUCUGCUGAUGCAGAGUGGCGGAAAUGCAACAAUAUUGAUCGAUACAGAUGGGAUAAUCAUCAUAACCUCUUCAAGCGUCCGGAAUGCUAUGUGCAAAGCCUCAUCGAUCUCCCUUAGUUGCCAUAAACUGGGAUUGCCCAACACUUCAUUGCUACAAAAAUAGGACUCAUUUAGUUGACAUCCACUCUUAACACAAGUUUUUAUUUUUAAUACUAUAUAGUAUCAUUCUUCUUCUUCUUCUUCUUCUUUUUUUUGCAUUCUCUUUCUCUUUAUAUCAUAUCAUCAUACUUAUUUGAUACUUGAACUCUACAUAUAAAUGCAACUCAACACAUAUGUAGAAUUCAAUAACAGUAACUACUAAGUCCAAAGAGUCAUCUAAUAGCACUAAAAUCAGAGAGACUAAAUUUGUUUGUGCCAAAAAAUCUUAACCCCACAAUCAGUGUUCUAAUAACAGCAAAGUAAGGAGUAACCAUAGCCUACAAUUAGUGAUACUAUAACAACAACAACAAACCCAGUGUAUUCCCCCACGUAGUGGGGUCUGGGGAGGGUGAAAUGUACGCAGUCCAUACCACUACCUUCGGAGAAGCAGAGAGGCUGUUUCCGGUAGAGCCCCGGCUCAAGACAAAGAAUAAUAAUCAAAGUCGUAAUAACACAUGAAACAAGAAAUAGCAGAAAUAAGACACUCACAAAGUAAUUCCCUACNNNNNNNNNNNNNNNNNNNNNNNNNNNNNNNNNNNNUCCGCUCUAACCUUUGAACAUAGCCCUAAGACUACCGGCCCGGCUAAACCAAAGCUCCCCUAACUACUAGCUACGACUCCCCCACAUGCACUAGCCUUCUAACCUAAUUCGCGUCCUCCAUACCUUCCUAUCUAGGGGCAUGUCUUUGGUAAGUUAUAACUGCUCCAUGUCUCGUCUAAUCACCUCUCUCUUGUAUUUCUUCGUCCUACUCCUACCCCGCUUGAAACCGUCCAAAGCUAGCCUCUCACACCUACGAACUAGGACAUUCGUGCCCCUCCUCAUCACAUGCCUGAACCAUCUCAACCUAACUUCCCGCAUCUUGUCCUCCACCGAAGCCACUCCCACCUUCUCCAAGAAUUUGCCUUUAAGCUUGACCGACACCUUCUUGUCGGACAACACUCCAAAAGCGAGCCUCCACUUCAACCAUCUUGCCCAAUCCUAUGGGAGACAUCUUUGUCAAUCAGUGUCACUAACUAUAUCACAAUUAAUAAAUAAAUAAAACUUUAACUCGUUUGGAUCGAGGAUUAGAAGGUUGUGGUUGUCACCGUCUUUAAUACAACCUCAUCAGUAGUGAUUGACAUUGAAUUAGAGUGCACAUUCAAUCAGUUCAAUCCGCUUUGAGCUAAUUUGAUUUGGUUUACAAGAUUUUUGGUUCAUUGAAUCAAACUAAAACGAGAAGCAUAAACAAGAAAACCAAAAAAGGCAACAGAAAAUGGGACUAAAAUGAAGAACACCAAGACUAAAGAACCAUGAAAACAAAAUAAAAGUGAUACUAUUCAUUCAUUACAGGCAUUUUCGUCGAUAAUAGAUUUUUAGAAUGAAGAUUCAAUGUCUGGAGCAAUUGUUACGGUACUAGUGCUGAUGGAUAUUCUUAACAAAUCAAUUGAAGGGAUAGAACAUGGUAAACAAAUCAAUUAAAGUGAUAGAAUAUGGUAAGAGUACAACAUCCAUGUUUUUGCCAACUUUAUCGAGCAUUGUCUUAACUGGUGCAAUCUGCAUAAAGUAACAUAACAAGAUUUCAAUGAAAACAUUCACCAAAUCAAAGGAAAUAAUCAGAUAAAAGGUUGUCUGUGAACCUUUUUAGGAUCUGUGAAAGAAUUCUCAUCUAUCACAUUGCUAGAUGUUAAUAUAGUUUUUGUCGAUGAGUCAUCCAUCUCGUUGCUAGAUGUUAAUAUAGUUUUUGUUGCCCCAUGUUGGAGAUAAGGUAAUAACUGAAGAUAAGAGGGAGAAGAAAGGAAUCCUUCAGCUCACAACAUCUGCAGCUCAAAAGAUCUAUAUCUCACACUGAAGAUGCAAUAUACAAUUGUCAAUACAAGCUGUAAAAGUGGAAAAAUCUGCACAUGCUCUAGCUGAAAAAUCUGCACAUACAAGCUGUAAUACUAGAAAAUCUGCACCAACACAUGUGGACUUGCUGCUACUGCACAUACAAGCUGUAAUACUAGAAAAUCUGCACACGUGCAAGCUGGAAAAUCUGCACCAACCCAUGUGGACUUGCUGCUACUUUUCCAAUUCAUUUAUUCUGUUAUUACAUUUCUUUUUUCAGCAUAUACAUGUAUAAAUAGUGGUAGGAUUAUGUACAUUGAACACAAGGGAAAUAGAGAAAACUUUCCAUACAAUCUCUCUUACAUUCUUUCACCCCAGAUGACUGCAACAGUGAGUUCUCCAAUCCACUGAUAGAGAUAUUAAGUGUGACUGUGUUGUUCCCAAAGUUCACAACCUACAAAAUGAGUCAACGAUAACAACAACAUCACUCACUGUAAUCCCACAAGUGAGGUCCGGGAUCUUUGACAGAUGGAGGCUAAGUUGUGUAUCUGCAAAAGGAACAGCAGCAAUAACCGAGCACUAUAACGUAUAAAACAAAGAGCAAUCUAGUUGGUUGGUUCAUCUAGUUUGUUCAUAGAGUUCUAAAUGAAGUAUGAAUCAAGAAAAUGUAAGUCAUGAAAGGCGCUAAUGAUAAACGUCAAGAAAAUCUCCACCUUUAUUCUUAUGUAGUCAUUGCCAUCAGUCUCAUUUCACCAUUUGAUGGCAGAUGCUAUUAGUGAAUUCGAAAGAUUAUUAUCUUGGAGUGUUGAGUCUAGAAGAGUUGCACCAUUUGACUCUUUGAAGAAGUGCUGCAUCCAGUAACUAGGGGUUCCAUACACCUGUGAAGUAGUGAAAACAAUAGUGUCUGGUGUCCACCUAAACAAACGAGACUCAUUUCGCAGAGAUGAUUCAGUUUUGAAGAAAAAGAGAACGAGAGUAGAAGAAGAAAAAAUACCAAACAUACCUCCGGUUGUUGUUGUUAACAAAUAGGGGUGCAUAACUUGCCAUUUCGAUUACAUCACUGCACAAGGAUAAAUAACAGGUUAUCGUUGAACAAACAACAUAUACUAUAGGGAGCGCUUUAACGUCCUACCCCAACCCUCUUACGAGUACCUGUUUUUUCUACUCCGAUAAGGAAUCCAGCUUCAGCAAGUGCUGCUAACAGAUUACCGUUUCCAGCAUCAUCUUUAGUAGCAUACUCACUAAUAAAAGCCUGUGUAAAUAAAGAUAAACAGUAUACACGAGCACCAUUUAAAAAAAAAUGCAUUAGAUAAAUCAUCAAAGGGAACAUUUAACGUACAUUUGGUCCACUGCACGACGCACCAUUGAAACGGCUGGCAUUAGAAAACACAUCAUUUGCACUUGCACAAAGCUAAACAUAGAGACAUCAUAAAGUUAAAGCUCAAAUUUACAUAUGCAUUCUGUAAGUUAGACUUUUAACAACACCAAAAUCUUACAUGAAAAUCAUAUAAAUCAGCCGGGUGAUCCAGUAGUUUGGAAGAACCAUCACAGUUGAAGAUUAUCUUAAUAUCUGGGUAGGCUUUUUUGAUUUCUGAAUGCAACUUGUGUUGGGAAUAAAUCCCGCCACGUUAAUAAUAUUGCGGUAAUAAAGAACAAAAAUUAUGGCAACAUUAAUACAAGAAAAUAACAAGACCAAUAAGAGCGAUAGUGACACCAAGAUUUUUACGUGGAAACCCAAUGAGGGAAAAACCACGGGCCAAGAGGAGCUACUGAUAUCUCUGUAAUAAGAAAUUUCACACCGUAAUCACAAGUACAAUACUCAAAGUGACUACUGCACACUCAAAAGAAAUCUCUCUUUUGAUUUUUCCACCUCACUACAAUAUCGCUCACACUCUUUAUUUUUCCUCACGGACUAAACUCUCUGUGAUGCCUCACUUUCUUUUGUUUCUCUCUUUGUUGGUGUGAUUAAGUGAGCUGAAAUUGCCUCUAUUUAUAGGCAAGAAAUACCCUCUAUUGAUGUCAUUCAUGACAUCAAAUCCCAACAUAUGAAUACACUUUCUUGAAAGGCCAAAGGCCAAAUUGCCAAAGGCCAAUUUGCCAAAGGCCAAUUGACAAAGUAAUAGUUAGGUAUGCACAAAAUCUUGACCAGAUUUUUCUGCUUAUGAACAUGGUCUGGACACUACAAAUCUCCCCCUCCAGUCCUAUGCAUCUGAAGGAGGUAUCCUCGUUCUUCUCAGAAAGAGCUCAUUCCGACAAGUUCUUUGCACAAUUCGAACUUGUCUUUUGGAACCACCUUUAUCAGCAUAUCCACAGGAUUGUCACUGGUCUGAAUCUUCUUGACAUAGAAUGAUUCGUUCUCCACUUGUUCACGAAUCCAAUGGUACCUCACAUCAAUGUGUUUUGUUCUUGCAUGGUACAUGGAGUUCAUGCUCAAAUCUAUUGCACUUUGGCUGUCACAAUAGAGAACGUGCUCCAUUUGCUGCAAUUCAAGUUCUUGAAGAAAUCGUUUCAGCCAUACCAUCUCCUUGCCAGCUUCAGUAGCUGUAAUAUACUCUGCUUCAGUUUUAGAGACUGCGACACACUUCUGCAACUUCGACUGCCAUGAUAUAGCUCCUCCUGAAAAUGUAAACAAAAAUCCAGUAGAAGAUUUUUUGUUAUCAAGAUCACCUGCCAUAUCAGCAUCUGUAUAGCCCUUCAAGAUUGUACCAGCUCCACCAAAACACAAACAGUCUCCUGAGGUUCCUCUUAGGUACCUCAAUAUCCAUUUAACUGCUUCCCAGUGCUCCUUUCCUGGAUUUUCAAGAAACUUGCUAACAACACCAACUGCAUGAGCAAUAUCCGGUCUCGUACACACCAUAGUAUACAUCAAACUCCCUCCUGUGAAUAAUAAGGAACAUUAGCCAUAUUUCCUUUCUCUUCCUUUGUUGUAGGACACGUUUUCUUUCUUAACUUUAGAUGACCAGCAAGAGGUGUGCUAACAACUUUAGCACUCUUCAUGUUGAAUCAUUCGAGUACAUUUUCCAUGUACUUCUCCUGAGAUAGCCACAACUUUCUGCUUGUUCGUUCUCAAACAAUCUUCAUCUUCAGAAUUUGUUGUGCUGGGCCCAAGUCCUUCAUGUCAAAUGACUUGGACAAAUCUCUCUUCAACUUGGCAAUCAGCUCCUUGUCUUGUCCUACAAUCAACAUGUAAUCCACAUACAACAACAAAAUAAUAAAGUUGUUGUUCGAAAAUCUUUUGAAGUAUACACAUGGAUCAGAAUAAGUCCUUUUAUAGGUUUGACUUUGCAUGAAUGAGUCAAACUUCUUGUACCACUGCCUUGGUUCCUGCUUCAAUCCAUAAAGGCUUUUAUUCAUUUUACAGACCAUGUGUUUCUUUUCAUCUACUUCAAAUCCUUUUGGCUGGUCCAUAUAGUUUUGUUCUUCCAAAUCUCCAUGAAGAAAUGCAGUUUUUACAUCCAACUGCUCCACUUCAAGAUCUAGGCUAGCUGCUAAGCUCAAAAUGGUUCGAAUAGAAGUCAUUUUGACAACGGGUGAGAAGAUUUCAUCAAAAAUCAAUACCUUUUUUCUGUUCGAAGACUUUUACCACCAAUCGAGCUUUAUAUCUGACCAGCUUGCCAUUUCUAUCUUUCUUGAGUUUAAAGACCCACUUGCACUUAAGUGGUCUUUUACCCUUUGGAAGUUCAACCAGCUUGUACGUGCCAUUUUGCUGCAAAGAUUCCAUCUCUUCUUGUAUUGCUUCCAUCCACUGAUUCUUUUUUGGAUGGACCAACACCUCCUUUAGACUUUCUGGCUCCCCCUCAUCAUUGAUAAGGACAUAUUCUAAGGAAGGGUACUUGGAUGACUCUACCCUUUGCCUCUCGGACCUCCUCAAAGGUUGAGAUUGUUGUUCUUCUUGAGUAGGGUGCUCCACCUGCUCAGCAUCAGGUUGCUCCCCCUGAUCGGCAUAAUCAUUAGGUUGCUCCCCCUGCUCGGCAACCUCAUCAGCUGUACUUUCUGCACUUCUAGGAUGAACAGAGGUGGAAGGAAUGGUAAUAACAUUAGGGACUACACCAUUGACCUUCUCUAAUACGUCAUCAGCAAUUUUGACUUCACUUUCUCGAAAGACUACAUCUCUGCUUCUGAUGACCUUCUUCUUUACAGGAUCCCACAAUCUGUACUCAAAUUCUUUAUCUCCAUAUUCGAUGAAUACGCAAGGAACUGAUUUAUCAUCUAGUUUUGUUCUAUGCUCUUUCGGUACAUGUGCAAAAGCUCUGCAAUCGAACACCUUCAGAUGAGAGUAGGACACCUCUUUGUUGGUCCAAACUCUCUCUGGGAUGUCAAACUCCAAUGGAACUAAUGGACUACGAUUGAUCAGGUAGCAGGCCGCCUGAAUUGCUUCACCCCCGAAAUGACUUAGGCAGUUUAGCCAUUUUGAGCAUGCUUCUCACUUUCUCAACAAUGGUGCGAUUCAUUCGCUCAGCUACACCAUUGUGUUGUGGGGUUCCAGGAACUGUCUUCUCAUGUCUGAUCCCGUGACUUGAACAAUACUCUUUAAAUUCCCUUGAAGUGUACUCACCUCCAUUGUCAGUGCGGAGACGCUUUAGCUUUCGACCCAUCUCCCUUUCCACCAGAGCAUGAUACUUUUGGAAUACUUGAAAUACCUGAUCUUUGGUUUUCAAGAUAUAAACCCACAAUUUUCGUGAAGCAUCAUCAAUAAAAGUAACAAAAUAUUUGUUACUGCCCAUCGAUUCUAUCUCUAUUGGACCACAAACAUCAGAAUAUACCAGGUCAAGUAUAUUCAAUUUUCUUUCAGACUAUGUCUGAAAUGAAACUCUAUGCUGCUUACCGAAUAAGCAGUGGUCACAUGAUUUUGCCGUCGUACCUUUUGAAAAAGAGAUGAGUGAUUUCUUAGCGAGGAUUUCUAAUCCUUUCUCGCUCAUAUGACCCCUUCUUUUGUGCCACAAAUCUGCAGAGAUCUCUUCUCGAACUGCAUUCAAUUCACCUCAGCAAAUUUCUGCAUUUGUCCUACACAACAUGCCACAAGCAACUCCUUUUGCGAUCAGCAAUGCUCCCUUGGUGAGUUUCCAUUUUUGAUUUGCAAAAUAGUUCUCGUAUCCAUCUCGAUCCAAAGCAAUUUUGGAGAUCAAGUUCAACCGCAAAUUGGGUACAUGACGCACAUCUUUUAGAACCAAUGUGCAUCUAACAUUAGUCUUGAUACUAAUGUCUCUGAUCCCCACAAUCUUUGAAUAACUUGAGUUACCCAUUUUCACAGUGACAAAAUCACCUGCUUUAUACUUGCAGAAAAGAUCCCUUACCGGUGUAGCAUGGUAAGAUGCUGCUGUGUCAACCACCAAUUCCGUCUUUGUCUCUGCCAAGUGCAUGCACUCCUCUUCCUCAUUUAUGAAGAGAACAUCAUCAUCAUUAUUUUGCACUGUGGCAGUAGUGUUGUCGUCAUUCUUCUGGCCACUACUUUCACCUUUGUCCUUUUUCAGAUUUGGACAAUCUUUUUUGAAGUGACCUGGUUGAUUGCAGUUGUAGCACUUUCUGACUUUUGAUUUGGAUCGGAACUUGGACUUUCCACGACCUUCGGUUCUACCAUAACUAUCUGAACUCCUUUGAUUACUUCUGCCUCUACUUUCUGUGAUGAGAGUCUGCCCAUGAUUUUCAGGCUUAUUUCUCAUCUUCUCAUGGAGUAGAAGAGCUGAUGUGACAUCUUUCAGCUCAAUAAAGUCCUUGCCAUGUAAAAUGGUUGUUGCCAAAGUAUCAUAAGAAGAUGGCAACGAGUUCAAUCGUAUGAUGACUUUAUCUUCCUCCUCGAUCUUUACACCGAGGUUAGCCAACUGCGUGAUCAGUCCAUUAAGCACAUUUAAAUGUGACAAGAAAUUUGUACCUUCACCCAUAUGUAGGGCGUACAACUGCUUCUUUAGGUACAAUUUAUUUGUCAGCGUUUUGGACAUGUAGAGAUUUUCUAACUUUGUCCAAAUAUCACAUGCACUAUCUUCGUCGCUGAUGUUAUUGACCAAAUCAUCUGUUAAAUGCAACCUGAUUGCACUAGCAGCCUUUUCAUCCAUUUCUUCCCAAUCCUCCAGUUUCAUGGAUUCGGGCUUUUUGGACUUGCCACUUAGUGCCUUGUGUAAUCCUUGUUGGAUAAGCAGAUCCCUCAUCCUCCUCUGCCAUGUUGAGAAACCGCUAUCACCGUUGAAUUUUGCUACCUCGUACUUUACUCCGGACAUUUUAUUUUUACCGAGUAUAGUACCACCAACCGCAAAUAUUAUUUUUGUGAAAAAGCAGAACCUGCGCUUUGAUACCAGGUGUUGGGAAUAAAUCCCGCCACGUUAAUAAUUUGCGGUAAUAAAGAACAAAAAUUAUGGCAACAGUAAUACAAGAAAACAACAAGAACAAUAAGAGCGAUAGUGACACCAAAAUUUUUACGUGGAAACCCAAUGAGGGAAAAACCACGAGCCAAGAGGAGCUACUGAUAUCUCUGUAAUAAGGAAUUUCACACCUUAAUUACAAGUACAGUACUCAAAGUGACUAUUGCACACUCAAGAGAAAUCUCUCUUUUAAUUUUUCCACCUCACUACAAUAUCGUUCACAUUCUCUAUUUUUCCUCACAGACUAAACUCUCUGUGAUGCCCCACUCUUCUUUUGUUUCUCUCUUUGUUGGUGUGAUUAAGUGAGCUGAAAUUGCCUCUAUUUAUAGGCAAGAAAUACCCUCUAUUGAUGUCAUUCAUGACAUCAAAACCCAACAAAUGAAUAAACUUUCUUGAAAGGCCAAAGGCCAAUUGACAAAGUAAGAGUUAGGAAUGCAGAAAAUCUUGACCAGAUUUUUCUGCUUAUGAACAUGGGCUGGACACUACAACUUGAGGUAGUUUCCUGAAUAUUUACAAAGAUUUCAGGUCUUGACUCGAUCCUCAAAAUUCAUUGGAGUCUAUGAACCCCGUGCAACUAUAGAACAUAGAACAAAUUAUGUGAUCUGUGACAAAUACAAUGAGGUUUGCAUACCCUUGUACUGUGGGAAUUUCUUUGCACAAUCUUCAUUUCCAACAGCGACAUAUCUCAAAUCAAAGGGCUCUGGAUGUCCCAUUGCAGCUCGAACCGAACCCCAUGUUGAGUUAGAAGCACCCCUUGAAAAUUCAAUACCAUCUAAGGUAUCCUGGAUCAGACAACAACAAAAUAUGCUUAUAAAACCUAAGAAGAGUGCUUAAUCUGCAACAUAUAUCCACAGUUUUUCUUAAUGUAUGUGGUACAGGCCAAGUAAUGUACAUGUCAUGUGUAUGCAGUGAAAGUUCAGGAAACCUACUUGCACGAAAGGUGAGAUAUUGGAAGUGUUAACUUGUUCUUCAUGGCUGAUUCCUGAAAAUAACCAACUUGUAGAGAAAACUUAUUAAUUGCAUGAAGAGAACACAGACUAAAAUAAAAUAAUAAUGCACCACAGAAAGUGGAGGAGAUAGAUACCGCUGUUGAAAACCCAGACUGGCAACGCACCCAAGUCCUCAGCAAGCUGCAGCAAGAAAGGACUCGAGUAAGGAACAUCCAUAAGCAUACCGUACUCAUGUUAAGAGAAUUCUUGGUUUAGUUCUUCACCUUAACGACAAAAAAUAGAAAAUACGAUUGAUCAAAUCCUACAUAGGACAGACUAACUACACAGGAUCAAGAAUUUGACUAGCCACAAUUUGAUAAAACAACUACAUAGAUAUCCUGCUGAGUGAAAGAACAUCAAAAGUUUGUGAGAAAGCAACAAGUACUACAAAGAAUUGGAAAAAAGUCCAUAGUUGAUAACACAAAAGGUGAAUCAUUUUUCACCUGAAAAUGCCUAACACUACAAGCACAAAGCAAUAUAUAUUAGUGGAGAAUGAUGAAGGAUGAGUUAUUAAUUAUACAGAAAUAUCACUCUUCUGCAUGCCUAAUUGUUGUGUACUCAUUCAAGAUUUUAGCAUGUCUAUAUAUAGAGAAAUUUGGCUGAAGGAUUUAAGUAUGGUGAAGGGAGAAGAAACAAUUCAAUUCUUGAAAUUCCCUUUUGCUUUCACAUAAACAUUUUUUACUUUGAUUUGACACGGAGUUUUAAGAAGUUACAAGCAGAUAUUCAGGAAUAAUAUGAUAAAUUUUAUUUUUUUUAAAAAAGCAUUGACAUGUUAUAUCUGAUUAAAUUUAAUGUAUGCAGUUCAAUUUUUACAUGUAGAUAUAUGUAACUUAAAUUUGCUAAAAUUAUAACUAGCCUGUUAAAAUUGAAGCAACUUUGUUGCUUUUUCAACUAAGCAAACUUAUCUAGGCAUUAUAUGAAUCUUUCAAAAAAUUGUCAUUAUUCAAAUAAAGUUGAGAUAGGUUAUAAAUAUUUGUUUAGUACCAAAUCAGUCAAGAUUUGAUAAUUGGAAUCUUUUAUACUCAUUUUAUUUUAUUUAGAUCAACAAUUAUAGAUUACUGCAUAAAGAAAAACCACACCAUAACAAACUCAAGUGACAAAGUUGAAGAAAAAUACUAAAAUUGUAAUGUUAUGGAGCAAACUAACACUCCAUGUAUUCUAUUUGUAUUGAUAUUAUAAAAAAAUCUUUUAGGCAAGAAGUUUUGCUGGUUUUCUGCUCACUCAAUUUCUUCAACUUGUUAAUAGAAAUUUAAGGAUUAAUUUUCUUUUAUUCCAGUUUGAUUUCUUAAAUUUUGUGGUAUAGAUGGGUGUUUGAGUUUGUACUUGAUAGAGAAGGCUCUUUCUAUUCCAUUUGAUGUUGAUUCUGAAAUAUUUCCAUGGAAACAAUCCUUUGAGACAGCAAGAUUGUCAAUCAAAUGGAUGUUAUUCUGUGCUAUAUGGAACUUUUCUUUGGUUGCUUUUGUUCUGAGCUAUGUUGUUCGGUGACUGACUCUUCAAAAAUAUUGACAGAUGCAUGUCGGUGUUACUUUUAGUAUAUGCAUUUCGGGUACACAGAAUAUGUAUAUGUAGAACAACAAUUUCAACUUUAGCUCUAUGUUUAAAAACAAGAACACAAUGAAGUGCAGAAAAUACCCUCAACACAAGAUCAAAUGAUCUUUCCAAGAGGUGUAUUUUAUUUUUAGAAACAAAGAUGAAACAGAAAUGGCCAAGUUGUCCGAAUUCACGGAGUUUCCUUAAGAAAAUAAUUCCCCUUACUGUACUCGAGGUUGUGGAAUUUUUCCUCCCACAAUAAAAUGGCCAAACAAACCAACUGUAGCGGUACCUCAAACAAUUGGAAUAUCUUCGAACUCACUGAACGUUUUGAGUGAUCACACAAAAUAUUUUUAAGACAAGAAGAACGAUUUACAUCAAAGGUUACACCCUUUCUGUAAGUUCACGUCUGUUCAUCAAAGAGUGCAUCUUUUCCUGAACAGUCAUCUCAUUUCACGAAUCAGUGUGUCAAAGGUAGAUCUCAUUGAUCGAUCAUUUGCCAAAUCCGAAGCCGAAGCCGAGCGACGACGACGACUGCGCGAGGUAUCUCUUAUUUCUUGCCUCACUUACCAUGUGGAGUAAGUGAUCUUGAUUAUAAACACUUCCAAGUUCUCUUCUUCCACCAAUGUGGGAGAAAGAGUAAACUUUCUAAUUUGGGAGUACACUUUUUAUUUUAGUAUUUCCUUGCCUCCACCAUUUUACUCUCCAUUUUUUCCAUUCACACUUCUUUUAUAUACUAUGAACCCAACAAUCCCCCACAUGAAUGGGGAAUGCCUAUUUUUUCUUAAAAAUUUUAUGGACAAGUAUGUGAUCAUCAAGCAAAGACUAAUUGCAUUUGGAUAAGUGGGUUUCCCUUUGAACUUUUCGUCGUGAAAAUGCAUCGGAUGUACUCGGUCAAUCGGUAGAUUUGAUAUCUUUGAACCGUCGAUCUUUAAUGUACACCUAGACAACACAUGUCACACAACCAGCCUUUUACCGUUUAUGGUUCUCACGAUUUUGUUCUUUUCAGCCAUGAACGCGUCCUGAUUUCAUGAGAGCAUAGAGAAUAGGCUUUUACUAACAUUCUCCUUGAAGCGGCUUCCACUUCGCCCUCACAUAGGUGAUUUCUAAACAUUUAAUCCUAUAGAUUAAACUAUUUGGUCAAAUAUGCCAAAUUUAGAUAAUCAUUAAAAGACUUCUCACCUUAAGUAUUAUCCUUAUUUACUAAACAUUGUCUACAUCAUGAGAAUGGGUUGUGUAAUUGACAACGUUGAACCCGUCAGACACAACUUUGUUUGAUCUCCUUGAACCUAACUUUUGGGAUCUCCAGUCUACUAGGUAGAGUUACCGUCAUGCUAGAGUUACCGUUAUGCUAACUUGUCCUAGGCCUUAAAUCCAUUCCCUUAGAUGUCCUUUCCACUCCUUCUCUAGAUAGGAUUUUUGUAAGCGGAUCCGACACAUUAUCCUUUUGACUUUACAUAGUCAACAGUGAUAAUUCUACUAGAGAGAAGUUCCCUAAUGGUAUUAUGUCUCCAUCGUAUGUGAUGAGGUUUACUGUUGUACAUCAUGCUCCCUGCCUACCUAUUUUCGUUUGGCUAUCACAGUGUAUAAAUAUUGGUGCCACUGGCUUGGGCCAAUACGGAAUAUCUUCCAAGAAAUUUUAGAGCCAUUCUUCUUCUUCACCGGCUUUAUCCAAUGCGAUAAAUUAAAAUUCCACUGUAGAGCGAGAAAUACAUGUCUGUUUGGAUGAUUUUCAGGAGACUGCUUCUCCACCGAUAGUAAAUACAUAUCCACUUGUGGAUUUUACUUCGUUCGAUUCGGUGAUCCAAUUUGCAUCACUAUAUCCUUCAAGUACCGAAGGAUAUUUAUUGUAAUACAAGGCAUAGUCUUGAGUGUAUUUAAGAUACCCCAAAACUCUUUUCAUUGCCAUCCAAUGAGUUUUGUUGGGAUUACUCGUAUGCCGACUCAAUUUACUAAUAGCGCAUGCUAUGUCUGUUUGUGUACAGUUCAUUAUAUACAUUAAACAUCCCAAUACUCUUAUGUACUCCAAUUGUGAGUCACUUUCACCUUCAUUCUUUCGAAGUGCAAAGCUCACAUCUAAUGUGAGUCUUAGCUAUACCGAAUUCCAUAUACUUGAAUUUGACAAGUACAUUUUUGAUAUAAUGAGACUGUGACAAUGCCAACCCUUGUGGAGUUCUAUGGAUUCUUAUACCUAAGAUCAAAUCCGCAACUCCAAGGUCUUUCAUAUCGAAUUUGCUCUCAAACAUUCGUUUUGUAACAUUUAUGUCAGAAAUGUCUCUACUAAUUAUCAACAUAUCAUCCACAUAUAAACAAAAAAUGACUUGGUGAUUUGGAGUGUCUUUAAUAUAAACACAUUUAUCACAUUCAUUUAUCUUGAACCCGUUUACCAACAUGGUUUCGUCAAACUUUGCAUGCCACUAUUUAGGUGCUUGUUUUAGUCCAUACAACGACUUAAUAAGUUUACACACCUUAUUCUCCUUUUCUGGAACCACAAAAUCCUCAGGUUGUUCCAUGUAAAUUUCUUCCUCCAAUUCUCCAUUUAGGAAUGCGGCUUUCACAUCCAUUUGAUGGAUUUGAAGAUCAUAUACCGACGCCAAGGCAAUUAACAUUCGAAUCGAGGUUAUCCUUGUUACUGGCGAGUAUGUAUCAAAGUAAUCAAGACCCUCCUUUUGUUUGAAGCCUUUUACUACAAGUCUUGCCUUGUAUUUGUCAAUAGUACCAUCCGCUUUUAUUUUUCUUUUGCAGAUCCAUUUAGAACCUAAAGGUUUAUUUCCUGGAGGAAGAUCAACCAAUUCCCAUGUAUGGUUGCUUAAGAUUGAAUCAAUCUCACUAUUGACUGCUUUUUUCCCAAAAGGAUGUGUCUGACGAUGACAUCGCUUCUUUAAACGUUUGAGGCUCAUUUUCUAAGAGAAAUGUUAUAAAAUUUGAUCCAAACAAAGUUGACUUUCUUUUACGUGUACUACGCCUUGGAUUUUCUUCAUUAUGUACAUUCUCACUUGGUUCAUCUCGAGGUCAUUUAGAUCCUCCACUAGACUGUUCAUGUCUAAGUUUAUACGGAUAAAUAUUUUCAAAUAAUUCAACAUUAUCUGAUUCAAUUACUGUAUUUUCAUUUAUAUACAGAUGUUCGAAUUUAUGAACCAAAAAUUGACAUGCUUUACUACUUUUAGCAUAUCCUAUGAACACGCUGUCCACCGUCUUAGGUCCUAUCUUAACCCUUUUAAGUAUAGGAACUUGGACCUUCGCUAGACACCCCCACACUUUGAAAUAUUUUAAGUUGGGUUUCAUUCCUUUCCAUUUUUCAUAAGGAAUUGAUUGUGUCUUACUAUGGGGAACUCUAUUGAGUAUACUGUUGGCUAUAAGGAUAACCUUCCCCCACAAGUUUUACGGUAAAUCGGAACUUAUAAGUAAGGCAUUCAUCAUUUCCUUCAGAGUUUGAUUUUCCUUUCCGCAAUUCCAUUAGAUUGAGGUGAAUACGGGGCCGUAUUUUGAUGGAUAAUUCCAUUCUCUACACAUAUUUUGGCGAAGGGAGAUUUAUAUUCUCCACCCCUAUCACUUCUUAUCAUUUUAAUCUUUUUGUCUUCAGUUUUGUAUUGCUUAAACACAUCUAUUGCUUCAUCCUUACUAUUUAGCAAGUAGAUAUAACAAUAUCUAGUGCUAUCGUCAAAGAAAGUUAUGAAAUAAUUUUUCUCACCACGUGAUGGUGUUGACUUCAUAUCACAAAUGUCAGUGUGUAUUAUGUCUAAGGGAUUGAAAUUUCUUUCAACGGACUUGUAAGGAUGCUUUGCAUACUUUGAUUCCACACACGUUCGACUCUUUGAUUUAAUGCACUCAAAGUUUGGCAAAACUUCUAAGUUAAUCAGUUUUCGUAAUGUUUUGUAAUUAACUGUCACGAUCCGAACUAGGGCCUAGCCGUGGCGGACAUCCCGAACCAGGAAGGCCCAGAACGCCCUUCUUUAUCUGGUAAUCUUGCACACAAUUCAUAUACAAAAAGAAAAUGCGGAAUUAUACAUCGAAUACGGAAACAUGGUCAUACUCUGAAAUUAAUUUAACAAUGAAGGAAAACUCCAACAAUAUCUAAACAUCAUUUGACUCAGUCUGCGAAAUCUCUACUACAUGAAAAUCUGGCGACGGUCUAAAGCAGAGACAAGGCCCCAGUAGACCAAAACUGAAAUAAGUGUCAUGAUCUGAAAAGACAGACCUUCUGGAAUAGAGAAGGCUCACUACUGCACAAUCUGAUCACCUAUCGGAAAUAUCUACUACUUAUCUGGACCCCUAGACUGAACCUCAGAACCUGGAGGAAGGAGGGAGGUCAAUACAGAUGUACUGGUACGCAGAGCACAUCCAAAAUGAUCAUUUAUUAUUCAACAUAUAUGAGAGCAAAUUUUAAAACAGUUCAUAAGUAUAUCAUAUAGUCGGAAAAUCACAUGGGCAUCUCAAAAUACUCUGUAAAAAUCAUCACAACUCUGAGAAAUCUAUAUUACUCUUGCGUUAGGUGGUAUACCCUACAAUUAUGAAAAUUCCAUGGGCUAUAUGGAAACUGCCAUUAACUCGACAAUGAAGCCCCCAACCCAAUUGUGCCACAAGGGUCGGAGUCUCUAACUCUACUACGCCACACGGCAGUCGCCAGCAUACAAUAAUAAUCUACCUGUAUCGGCAAAUACGAUUUCAGGCUAGGAGUUAUUUGAACUCGCGCCUUCUUCGGGUAACCACCUAACCCUCUUUAAGCCCCUUUUAAACACUCUAUGAAAACAUGCAUGCUCUGAAAACAUACUCUGUUAUGGCAUAAAUAUAUAUGGUAUCGUCAUACCAUUGACUUGCAAGUCACAUCUCUGAGCCAUAAUUAGUCUAUCAUAAAUCUCUGUUUUCAAAACACAAGUUUUGGGACCACCAUUUCAAUAAUUCAAUUCAAGAAAUUCUUUCUCAAACUUCAUGUAAAACACAUGCAAGGAACUUAUCUUUGUCAAACAUUUCAAUAGUACAAUACAAGGUGGUCAUGUCAAAGUUCUCAAUUCACAUGCACUUCUUUCUUUUAAACACAAGAACACACAUAUAUAUCAAGAACCACCCUCUCACAAUUUCAAAUUAUGAUCAAAUGCAAUAAUAUUGCGAAAACAUCUUUCAAAUCACAAAACCAUAAUCCUUAAUUCGAUACACGAGAGGGAGUUCAUAAUUUAUGCUCUCAAACAAUCUUAGAUCUCGAAUUCCAUACAUACACAUAUACAUGUAAAUCAAUUUAGGGGAUAGGACCACAAGGUCAAAACAAUAACAACAUUGAAACUUUCAAAUUACAGAAUCAACAAUAUAGUUUUUCAAAACCCCCAUAAAAUACAUGCAUCAAAACCUUAAAGUCAUGUUCUAAUGGUUUUAAGACCAUGUAGUUUUUAGGAUAACCCCACGUACCUCUAUUUUGAAAAAUAAUGGAUGAUUCUUGAAGCUUACGGAUUGGGAAUUCCAAAUCUCUAAUUAUCUUCUAAAACCCAUGGUUGAAUCUUGAGUUAUUUGGGAAUCUUGUUUGAAACUCUAGGGAGUGUUCUUGAAGAAAAUUGAGAGAAAUAUGAGUAAUGUGGUGUUUUGGGGUUGAAAUUCAGUGUUUAGGCUGAAUUAAUAGGGGUGGAAUUGACCCAAAUGCGCUGACUGCAGAAAAAUAUACUACUGCCUCUCACGAAAAUGACCAUAACUUUUUGCUUGAUUGGCGGAUUUAUGCGAAAUUAGUAUCGUUGGAAAGAUACUUCGAAGACCUUUCAUUUGAUAUAUAGUAGGUCACACAUCUCACUAUACAAUAGAAGUUAUACUCAAUGAAAAUUGACGCAAGUUGAAGUGUCCACUAAAACUAAAUCGCUGGAAUUGUUUUCAACUCGUCUUUGAGUUAGGGGACCUCUAUGACCUCAAUACAUGCUCAAAUAGGUUCCCACACUACAUAAUAUAUUAACAUACAAAAUUUGCAUAGGAUUUAUGGCUUUUGGAAUAUCAACGCGUAGAAAUGAUGAUUUUCGUUCUAGCCCAAAAUGCGGGGUGUUACAUUAACAUGGCCUAAACGUUCAUGCCACAAAUUAUAAGACUCAAGCAAGUAAGAAGAAUUUGAACUUUUAUUUAUUUUAAUAUUCAGUACAUUCAUCUUAUAAAGGUCCUCGGUGAUAUAGCCUUUUCCUAUAUACAUUUUUUCUUUGCUAAUUAUAAUUUUUCCAAAAACGGUUAUAUAUUUGAAUCCGUUCUUGUCUAGAAGUGAAACAGAAAUUAAGUUCCUACGAAAUUCUGGAACAUACAAGACAUUGCUAAGUGUCAAGACCUUUCCCGAAUUCAUUUUCAAGUACACUUUCCCUAUUCCUUCCACCUUAGUAGUAGCGGAGUUAGCCAUGUAGAUCAUUUCUUCUACUUAAGCAAGAGCGAAUGACGAGAACAACUCUUUGUUGGAAAAAAUAUGGUGGGUGGCACCAGAAUCCAUCCACCAUUCGCGAGGAUUGCCCACCAAGUUGUAUUCUGAAAACAUAGCACACAGAUCAUCACAGUCUUUGUUGGACUCAAUCAUAGUUGAAGCAUUUUCCCUUGAAUUUCUUCUUGGGUUGAUCGCUUCCAUAUUCAGCUUUCUUCCUUUUCUUAGAAUUGUUUCGAUCAUCUUCUACAAUAUGUGCUCCAUUAAUUGUAGAAUUCCCUUUUGACCUUCUUUCUGCAGCUUUAUUAUCUUCUUCAAUCCGUGGUCGGACAAUAAUAUCUUCAACAGUCAUCUCCUUGCGUUUGUGCUUCAAGUAGUUUUUGAAGUCUUUCCACAAAGGUGGUAGCUUCUCAAUUAUCGCUGCUACUUGGAAAGCAUCAUUCACAAUCAAACCUACAAAACAGUUUAUGUGAGUAUUAAGAACAUUUUCAAUUUGUUCAACUAAGGUAUUUUUCAAAGAUGUACCUUCCGCUAGGAGAUCAUGGCUGAUUACUUGCAAUUCCUGCACUUGAGAGACAACCGAUUUUCUAUCUAUCAUUUUAAAGUCCAAAAACCUUGCAACAACAAAUUUCUUAAUUCCUGCAUCCUCAGUCUUAUAUUUUCGUUCAAGAGCCCCCCACAAUUUCUUUAAUGUCUUAGCUCCACUAUAAACAUUAUAGAGAUCGUCUUGGAUGCACUCAAUAUAUAAUUCCUGCAAAGGAAGUCUGAAUAUUUCCAAGCCUCUACAAUUAUGAAGCGCUCUUUGUCCGAGGUUCCCUCGGGCACCUCAGGAGCGUCUUCACUAGUGAAAUUUUGUAGACAUAGAGUGGUGAGGUAAAAGUACAUCUUUUGCUGCCAUCUCUUAAAGUCAAUGCCUGCAAACUUUUCGGGCUUCUCCACCGGUGCCAUUGUUGGCAGAGCAUUUGCUCAACUUGUCGAGGCAAUGCUAGUUGUUGCCAUGGUUGUAGCAUCAUGCAUUUGACUUUUAGUCAUCAUACUUUCCCUAUCACCACAAGACAGUAAAUUUAGUAUUUUCAAAAUACUACUUAUAAAGUUAAACAACUUUAAACUAUUCUCCUUAUUUCUAGUUAACAAUGAAAUUUUUAUGACUUCCAAUUGUCAACCGAAUGAUCUUUAACUUGUGAUGAAGUUUUUAUGACUUCAAAUCACUAGUUAAGUUCAGGCAGAGGAGAAAGUUAAAACUUUAAUCUCCAAAAACAAGCAAUACAGAUUCUGUAAUAGUAAAGUUAUUUUCUUGAGAUUAUUACUUUUAGUAUAUGCGUUUCGGGUACACAGAAUAUGUAUAUGUAGAACAACAACUUCAACUUUAGUUCUAUGUUUAAAAACAAGAACGCAAUGAAGUAUAGAAAAUACCCUCAACACAAGAUCAAAGUGAUCUUUUCAAGAGAUGUAUUUUAUUUUUAGAAACAAAGAUGAAACAGAAAUGGCCAAGUUGUCCGAAUUCACGAAGUUUCCUUAAGGAAAUAAUUCCCCUCACUGUACCCGAGGUUGUGAAAAUUUUUCUUCCAGGAUAAAAUGGCCAAACAAACCAACUGUAGCGGUACCUCAAACAAUUGGAAUAUCUUCGAACUCACUAAACAUUUUGAGUGAUCACACAUAAUAUUUUUAAGACAAGAAAAGUGAUUUUAUUCUAAAAUUUUCGUGUCUAAACCUGUGAAUGAAAGCAGGUUUAUAUAUGUCAUUACCCGAGUCGGGGGCCUGGCCGUAAUGAGCAACCCGAACCAUGAAGGCCCGGAACACCCUUCUCUCAUGUACAACAUUCUUAUAAUAAAAAAAGAUGCGAAAAUAUAAUCUGAUACGGAAACAUGGUCAAUUCUGAAUUUAAUGUAAUGAUGGAAACUGUAAUUCAACAACAUCUAAAUAACAUCUGACUUAGUCUCUGAAAUCUCUGCUAUAUCUCAAAACAAUACUUUAUGAAAUAUGGCAUAGGCCCCCAAUAGACCAAAACUAUAGAAAUGAUAAAUAGCUGUAAGACAUUAGGCCUUCUGGAAUAUAGAAAGCUAUCCACUGAACUCGGCUCUGCUGUCCGAAAUAUCUACUGCUUAUCAGGACCCCUAGACUGUACCUCAUAACCUGAUAGGUAGGGGGAGGGGAUCAAUACAGAUAUACUAGUAUGCAGAGCAAAUCCAAAAUAAUCAUUUAUAAUCAACAUAUAUGAGAGCAAUUUAAAACAGUUCAUAAACAUAUCAUAUAGUGAGAAAUCACAUGGGCAUUUUAAAAGUCUCUGUGAAAACAUCUGAAAUCUGUGACACUCUUUGUAUUACUUCUGCGCUAGGUGGUAUACCCUACAACUCUAUUAGCCACGGGCUAUAUGUAAUCUGCCAUUAACUCGACAGCCAAGCCCCCAACCCAAGUUUGCCGCAAGGGUCGGAGUCUCUGCUCUGUACGCCACAGGGCACUAGGCCAGCGUAAAAUCCCUCAUGGGGAAGUAAUGUACCCGUAUCGGCAAAGCAAGGUUUCUGGCUACGAGUUACUUGAACUCCAGCCUUCUUCGGGCAACCACCCAACCCUCUUUAAGCCAUUUAACUCUUUCAAAAUAUGCAUUCUUUGAGCACAACUUCUGAAAUCAUACUCUGAAAACAUACUCUGUUAUGGCAUACAUACUUGUGGUAUUGUCGUACCACUGACUUGCAAGUCACAUCUCUGAGCCAUUUUAGCAAAUUAUAUCUUUGUUUUAAAAUCAUGAAAUUUAGGACCACCAUAUCAACAAUUCUUUCAAGAAACUCAUUCUUUAAAAUUCAUGUAAAGCCAUGAAAACAAUUCUCUUUAUCAACAAUUCAACAAACAAUGGUGGUCAUGUCAAAAGUCACUAUCUCAUACAAUUCUUCUCUUUAACACAAAACAUAGUUAUAUCAAGAAAUACCCUCUCAACAAUUCUAAAUCAAUGUUCAAAUACUAUGACAUUGAGAAAACAUCUUUCAAAUCACAAAACAUGCAUUUCAACUCUUUUCCAACAAAUCCAAAAAUCUGUAAUUUAUCACAAGAGAGGGAGUUCAUCAUUUAUGCUCUCAACCAAUCUUCAAUAUCAAUUUCAUACAUAUACGUAUACAUGUAAAUCAAUUUAGGGGUGGAAGACCACAAGGCCAAAGCAAUAAUAACAUUGAAACUUUCGGUAUACAUAAUCAAUAAUAUAGUUUUCAAAACCCCCUUAAAAUACAUCCAUCAAAACCUUUAAAUCAUGUUUUAAUAUUUUCAAGCCCAUGUAGUUUUUAGGAUAAACCCCACAUACCUCUAUUUCAGAAAAUAAUGGAUGAUUUUUGAAGCUUACGGAUUGGGGAUUCCAAAUCUCUAAUUAUCUUCCAAAACCCACGGUUGAAUCUUGAGUAAUUUGAGAUUUUUGUUUGAAACCCUUAUGAGAAUUCUUGAUGGAUUUUGGUGAAAAUAUGAGUAAUGUGGUCAUUUGGGAGCUUAAUCCCGUGUUUAUGGAUGGAUAGGGGAGGAGAAAAGACUUAAAUGCCCCUAAAAAAACAAACAAAGCCACAGUUGUCCCUCGAUUGACAAGCUGACAGGCUGAAGUAAAUUGGGAAUAACUUCUUACUCAGAUGUUCAAUUUGAAUAAAACCAAUUGAAUUGGAAAGAAGACUCAAAGAUAUUUGUUUGAUAUAUAGCAGCCCUCCCAGUUCAUUAUAUACAGAGAGUUAUGAUCAUUUGAAGUUGACCCUGAAACUAUGGUUUGAAAUGCGCCCGAACUGCGCCCAAAAUGCUGGAGCAUUUCAAAGGCAUUUCAAACCAGUGUAUUAUGCUCCAGAAAUGCGCCCAAAAUGUACCCGGAAUGCUGGAGCAUUUCCAAGGCAUUUCAAACCAGUGUAUUAUGGCCCUAAAAUGCAUCCAAGACUACUGUUGACUUGCCCCAUCGUAUAUCAACAAAAAAUCAUGAAACGGAGGUCGAGAAGGUCGAAAAUAAAAUCCACAAAGAUUGGGAAUUCAAAAUGAGACUACGUCUCUUUGACACUUAGAAAAAAUUUUAAGUCUUCAACUCUAUAAGCAAGCUACUACGAGAUAAUACAUGGAGGAUUUUUUUACGAGGUUUACAUCUAUGAGCAUACUACUAGGAGCUAACACGUAGAGUAUUCUGCAGGGUGUUACAACGACGAUUCGAUUUAUGGUUCGAAAGUGCGGGGUGUUACAAUAUAGCCAUCAGAUGCCUCUUCUGAAAAGAGGCAAUGGUUCACAUCAAAGGUUACACCUUUUCUGUAAGUUCAGGUCUGUUCAUCAAAGAGUGCAUAUUUUCCUGAACAAUCAUCUCAUUUCACGAAUCAGCGUGUCACUUUGUUGAAAGAAUUCAUCCUUCUGAAGUAUCAUUUCGAAACAUUGCAUCAGAGAAAGCGACUAAAAUGUACAAUGAAGACUAAACGAAAGAGAUAUUAUUGAUAAUUCGCUUUUUCAAUGAUAACAUAGUUUCAGAAUCAGUUGUUUACAUUUACAGUCUUAAUGCUGAUGGAUUUUCUUAACAAGUCAAUUGAAGUGAUAGAAUAAGGUAAGAGUACAACAUCCGUGUUUUCACAAACUUUAUCAAGCAUUGUCUUAACUGGUGCAAUCUGCAUAAAAUAACAUAACAAGAUUGUAAGGAAAGCAGUGAAACAAAUCAAAGGAAAUGAUCAGAUAAAAGGUUGUCUGUACCUUUUUAGGAUCUGCGAAAGAAUUCUCGUCCAUCACAUUGCUAGAUGUUAUUAUAGUUUUUGCUGCCCCAAAGGACUGCAAUGAGUUUUCCAAUCCACCGAUGGAGAUAUUAAGAGUGACUGUGCUGUUACCGAAGUUCACAACCUGCAAAAUUUGUCUUUGACAAAUGAGUCGCGAAUUAACAGAUGGAGACUAAGUUGUGUAUCUGCAAAAUGAAGAGAAGAGCAAUCUUAGUUUGUUUGUCCAUUCUAGUUGUUCACAGAGUAUACUGUAAGUCUUGAAAUGCGUUAAUGCUAAACGUCAAGAAAAACUACUCACCUUCAUUCUUAAAUACUUGUCGUUAUCAGUUUCAUUUCGCCAGGUGAUGGCAGAUGCUAUAAGUGGAUUCGAAGGAUUAGCUUGGAGUGUUGAAUUUAGAAGAGUUGCGCCGUUUGACUCUUUGAAGAGGUGCCGCAUCCAAUAACUAGGAAUUCCAUAGACCUGUGUAUAAGUGAAAACAAUUGCAUUUGGCGGUGUCCACCUAAAUGAACAAGAAUUAUUUUGUAGAGAUGAUUCAGUUUUGAAGAAAAAGAGAACGACAGUAAGAUAUCCGAUUUGAAGAAAAAGGAGAAGAAGAAAUCAAACUUACCCCCAGUCGUUGUUGUUAACGAAUAGGGGUGUCAUUACAAUCACAUCACUGCACAAGGAUAAUUACAGGUUUUCGUCAAGCUAAGAGAUCACACGAUUCACACCACAAAUUUUCCAGCAUACCUGUUCUUUUCUACUCCAAUAAGGAAUCCAGCUUCAGCGAGCGCUGCUAAAAGAUUACCAUUUCCAGCAUCGCCUUUAGUAGCAUACUCCCUAAUAAAAGCCUGUAGGAUCCGUUCCUUCAGCUUCCAACAUAACAAUCACCUUUGUCCAAUUUGAUGCAUUAGCAACUCUGUGGAAACAAUAAAGAAUCAAUGGUAAGAGAGACGCAAAAUUCAUAGAAACAUUGGCGAGAGAAAUAGGAAAACAUAGACAACUGCAGAUAUAGCAAAUGAAACUUACACUACAGUAGUUGUAGCCAGCUUCUUUAGUCCAUUUGAACCUGUUAAGUCAUUUUCCAAUAUUUUCAUAUAAUUUUAUUACUAUCUAAAUGUGUCGUGAAUUAUUUAAUUUACUUACCCUUCUAAAAAAAAUUUGAUAGUGGUAAAGUUCUUUAAGUGAUGAUAUAUUUAUAUCAUUUUAUAAUAGAUUUUUAUGAUUUAUUAAUAGUUUAAGAAAAUAUAGUAAAUUUAGAAAUAUUAAAAUAUUAUUAUUAUAUAUAGAAGUUUUGUUAGAAAUAAUUUUCUAUUAAUUAUGACAUAUUCAAAAUAUUAUAAUUAUUUUAUCAUGAGCUUGUUAAGAAUGAUGCAAGUGUAUUUCACUUCAUAUCUAAAAUGAGAGAUUACAACAACUAUAAAUACACAAGGCUAGACACACAAUGUCAAGAGCACAUCCCUAAGAUCAUGCUUCUACCUACAAUAAUUGACUCUAACCCACAAUCUGAAAAAUGCUACCAGCUACCAUAUCUUGACAUUUAUACAACGUCUUGACAAAUUACUACCUACCUUAUCUUGAAAAAAUACCACCAGAUCUUGACACUCCCCCUCAAGCUGGAACAUACAUGUCAUAUGCUCCGAGCUUGCCGCAAAUGUAUUCAAUCCAAACUCCUCUAAGGGAUUUAGUAAGAAUAUCUGCCAAUUGGUCAUUUGAACCGACGAAGCUGGUGGCAAUGCACCCAGACUCAAUCUUCUUCCUAAUAAAAUGACAAUCCACCUCUAUAUGUUUUGUUCUUUCAUGGAAAACUGGAUUUGAGGCAAUAUGUAGCGCAGCCUGAUUGUCACAUAUAAGCUUCAUUUGAUUGAAUUCAACACAUUUUAACUCUUGGAGAAGUUAUUUCAGCCAAAUAAGCUCACAUGUAGCAAGGGCCAUAGCUCGAUAUUCAGCUUCUGCACUAGAUCUGGCAACAACAUCUUGCUUCUUACUUUUCCAGAAAAUUAAACUGCCUCCAAUCAUGACACAAUACCCAGAAGUGGAGCGUCUAUCAGAUGGAGAACAUGCCCAAUCCGUAUCAGAAUAUCCAACAAUGUCUGUGUGGCCUUUGUCUUCAUAUAACAAUCCUUGUCCUGGAGAUUUUUUGAUGUAUCUAAGGAUGCGAAUCACUGCAUCCCAAUGAUCUUUACAUGGAGCUUGGAGAAACUCACUAACCACACUUACUGCAAAUGAAAUAUCCGGGCGUGUAAUAGUGAUAUAGUUCAAUUUACCGAUCAGUCUUCUAUAUCUACCAGGAUCUUUCAAUGGAUCCCCUGUCUAGGAACGAGUUUGAUGUUUGGAUCUAUAGGAGUGUCACUUGGUUUACAAUUUAACAUGCAUGACUCCUCUAAUAUGUCCAAAGCAUAUUUUCUUUGUGAGAUGGCAAUACUUGUUUUGGAUUGUGCUACCUCAAUUCCCAAAAAAUACUUUAACUUCCCCCAAUUUUUGUUUUGAAAGUAACUGAACAAAUGUUGUUUUAGCUGAGAUAUUCCUUCUGGAUCAUUUCCAGUUAUGACAAUGUCGUCAACAUAAACGACCAGAAAAAUGUUCUUUGCUGGACCAUUAUGUCGAUAGAAAACAGAGUGAUCUGCUUUACUUUGAGACAUCCCGAACUGCGGGACAAUGGAACUAAAUCUGCCAAACCAUGCUCUCGGAGAUUGCUUGAGGCCAUAUAAAGAGCGUUUGAGAUGGCAAACUAAGUCUGACUCCCCCUAAGCAACGAAUCCAGGAGGUUGUUCCAUAUAAACUUCCUCAGCAAGUUCGACAUGCAAAAAGGCAUUCUUAAUGUCUAGUUGAUGAAGCGGCCAAUGAUGAAUUGCUGCCAAGGAUAGCAGUCAGACAGAUGCAAUUUUGGCAACUGAAGAAAACGUGUCACCAUAGUCAAGACCAUAAAUCUGGGUGUAUCCUUUGGCAACAAGGCGAGCUUUCAGCCGAUCAACUGUUCCAUCUGAACCCACCUUUACUAUGUAGAUCCAUCAACUUCUAACAGUAGAUUUCCCCUUCGGUAAGAAGACCAAUUCCCAGGUGUUAUUGGUUUGUAAAGCAUUCAUUUAUUCAAUCAUAGCAUCUCUCCACCCGGGAUGUUGUAAUGCUUCGUUAACAUCCUUUGGUAUAGGUACAUUAGAUAGGGUAGAUACAAAGGUAUAAUACAAUGGGAACAACCGAUGAUAACUUAAAUAGUUAUAUCUCUCUGGUUGUUUAUUUCGAGUAGUGUGUAUACCUUUGCGUAUGGUGAUUGGUGGGGUCACUGCAUCUGAUGAAGGUAUGACUGGAGCAGGUGAGGAAGGAGCAUGAGAUGAGUCAUCAGGAGCUACCAGUGCAUCUGGAAUAAAAGUAGUACUAUCAUUAGUAUUGUUAAGAGGAUGAGCACGUCGGAUGUAUACUUGAAGAGGACGGGAAGGGGCGGUUUGGGGGUUGUCUAGAAGACUUAUUUGUUGUAGAGGUAGUAUGGGUACUGGCAAAACGUGAGGCAUUAAGCUUCUGCUUGUAGUGCUUGGUGUAAAAUAAGAGAUGUUUCAAAACUUGUCACAUUUGCAUUGAUAAAAUAUUUAUUUGAUUUUGGAUCAUAGCACUUGUAACCUUUUUGGUGACGAGAGUAUCCUAGAAAGACACACUUAAUUUAUUUCGGUUGGAGUUUGUCAUUUCUAGUAUUUUGAUCAUGGAUAAAGCAUGUACAUCCAAACACUCUCAAAGGUAGAUGAUAAGAAUUUUGACCAGGAAAGAGAACUGAGUAAGGACUUUGUUGUUGUAACACAGUGGAGGGCAUUCUAUUUAUCAAACAACAAGCAGUGAGAACAGCAUCCCCCAAAAAUGAAGAGGAACGUGAUUGUGUAUGAGUAAAGUUUGAGCUGUCUCAAUGAGAUGUCUAUUUUUACGUUCGGCGACACCAUUUUGUUGAGGAGUAUAUGCACAAGAAGUCUGAUGAGUGAUUCCCUUAGAUGACAUGAACCUGGCAAAGGGUGAAGAUAAGUACUCCUUUGUAUUAUCACUGCGUAAUACCUUAAUUGAAACACCAAAUUGAUUGUUUAUUUCAGCAUAGAAUUUUUGAAAAAUAGGGAAUACUUCAGAACGAUUUUUCAUUAAAAAUACCCAUGUGCAAUGAGAAAAAUCAUCAAUAAAGGUAACGAAAUACUGAAAUCCUAAACUUGAAACAACAUGACUAGGACCCCAUAUAUCUGAGUGAACAAUGUCAAACAUAUAUGUGGCCCUAUUAUUGACUCUUUUGGGAAACGAAGUGAGACUAUGUUUCCCAAGUUGACAAGACUUACAUUAAUUAAUUUUUGAAGCUUUGCUAGACUCGGGAAACCAAAACGGUUGUGGAGAAGAUCAGUUGAGGCUGCAGAAGUGAAGGCAACUGGUGGUGGUAAUUUUGACAUGUGAUACAGUCCAUGUGACUCAUAUCCCGUUCCAAUUGUCUUCCCCGUUCUCCGGUCCUGUACAACAACAGAUUCAGCCAAAAAAGUGACACUACAGUUCAGUUGUUUGGUUAAUUUGCUAACAGAAAUCAAAUUAAAUGGACAUUCAGGAUCAAAUAAAACAGAGUUUAAGGAAAUAGAGGGAAGAAGUUGCACAUUCCCUAUUCUUUUUACUGCAGUUCGGGAUCCAUUAGCAAGGUAACCGCGGUGAGAGUUGUGGAAUGAAUAAGAUUUGAGAAAAGAUUCUGAUUACCAGAGAUAUGGUCAGAUGCACCAGAUUCCAAUAUCCAUUGGCAGGAGGGUGAAGAUCUGGUAAGACAAGCAAUGGAAUCGUCUUUCUCUGCCAUUAUGGCUUUGACAGCAAAAUGAAAUACCAAGAAAAAGGUUGGUUAAAAGAACUCGAAUAAGGGAAGGAGAAGAUCAAGGCUUCUCUUGAUGACUGCAGAUCUGGUAGAAUUUAUUUUGUUUUUCAGAUCAGUACUGAACCAGAAUUUUGCAGGAAAAAAAUUUUACAAAGUCAGAGCCCAAGUCAGAGAAACCUUCUAAGAAAAGAAGAAGGAAGACAAACUCUUCAAUAAACUCAGCAGAAUCUGGUCACCAAGCUCUUGAAGAAAGUGGUAAAGAAGGUGAGAAACUUCAAGAUCAUCAGAAUGAUCAAAAUAAAGAUGACCAAAGAUCAGUCUCUGAAGAUCCAGCGGUUGAGCAGUGCAACUCGUUGGAGAAGGAAUUUAAAGCUGAAAGUGACUUGGAAGCUAAGCAGGUGAAUGCCAGAAGUGGCUGCUCUUAAAGUGGCUCCGAUACCAUGUAAGAAUCGGUAUUGGGCCUAACUCACACCCCAAAAGCUAGCUCAAGAGGAGGAGGAUUGCCCAAGCCUUAUAAAGGAGCCCAAGGACCCUUUACCCGCCGAUGUGGGACUCCAACACCCCCGCACGCCCAGGACUGGACAUCUAGAACGUGGACAAUAUGAUGGGGGGCGCCCAACAUCAGGAUGAAUGGGUGGGCCUGACUUUGAUACCAUGUUAAGAAUGAUGCAAGUGUAUUUUACUUCAUAUCUAAAAUGAUAGAUUACAUCAACUAUAAAUACACAAUACACACAAGGUCAAGAGCACAUCCCUAAGAUCAUGCUUCUACCUACAAUAAUUGACUCUAACCCACAAUCUGAAAAAUGCUACCAGCUACCAUAUCUUGACAUUUAUACAAUGUCUUGACAAAUUACUACCUACCAGACAAAAUACCACCAGAUCUUGACAGAGCUUAUAAAAUAUCUGAUUAUAUAUAACAGAGUAAUUAAAAGUUAUUAUAUGAUACCUUCACUUCCAUGUGGACGUGAAGGAGUCGCUAUGCUUUGUGGCCACUAACUUUUAUAUAUAUAUAUAUCUAUAAUCUAUAUUUGUAUCUAUAUUUAUAAUAUAUUAAAAGUGUGAAGACCCUUAGAAAAGUGAUUUGAAUUUUUUAUCCUUCAUUUAAAGUCCUUCCUUUAGACAAAAUAGUCUUUUCAAUAUUUUACUCAAAUUAUUAAUUUAUUAUAUUUAAAAUUAGAGAAUCAUGAUAAGAGAAAACAACAAGGAAAAAGACAAGCCUAAAAGAAAAGUCUAUUUCAUUACUUAAAUUAAAAAAAAGGAAAAUAAAAUUCUAUUUAAAAAGUAACAAACGUUAUUUUAAGGAAAAACAAAUUUUACUUGGAAAAGGUAAUAAACGUUGUUUAAAAGGAAAAAAAACACUCUCGAAUAAGGUUUGAUAAUGAAGAUUUAUUUUUUUAAUAUUUAAGAAAAGAAAAAUAGAAGAUUCAAUUGUAUUGUGCAUUUGUUUCAAAUUUUCGGUGAGUACAUUCUUCAUAUUUAUUAUAGAUUCAAUUCUUUGAUUUUUAGUUACGGAUUUACUUUAUUUUUUAUUAGAGAUUUCAAUUUGAUUUUUAUAUUAUUACUUAUUUAAUUUGUUUAAUACGUGGUGUAUUUUUUCUUUCUUUCACCAUUUAAAUUUGGUGUAGUUAUGUCUGUGCUUUACUUUGUUGGAACACACAUGGAUAAGCCUUGGUUGGUACUUCAACUUUGUGUUUCUAUAGACUGCAAAAACAAUUAUUUCAUGUGUUUGAUUAAUUAUUCUAGUAUCUUAAUUAUUGUAGUUUAUAUUUUGUGGUAACUGGUAUUUUUCUCCUUAAGACAGUUUGAAAUUUCAAUUAUCGUACUGUUUUGUUGUGGUUUACAGGAUGACUGAUGAAUGUUCGGUCAUACUUUGAAGAAUUUUGUGAAAAGGUUAUGUUUAAUCAUAUUAUUUUGUUGUAGUUUUGAUCUAUUACUAUCUGUUAUUUUUAUUAUUAUCUGUUAAGUUAUAGUUCAUGUCAUAGGAGACAAGAGGAUUGGAAAGACUCGAGCAUCCUAAGAACUAGACAUAAGGAAGAGGACCAAUCGACGGACCGCAAAAACUAAAAAAACAAGAAGCUUGAAAAGUUUUAUGUGUUCUUAAGUAGUUAUAGUAAGAGUACAAUAUUAACUGAAAUUUUGUGGAAACUUCGCCCACAUAGAUCUCAAAUUAAAUAGGAAUCAAUAACAUAUUAUAGUUUAUACAUUAUUGUAAAAGCAUCUCUUUGCUAUUUGUUGAAUGAUGGUAGUAUUUAAUGAGUCACCAAUAUUUUAUAGGAGAAAUUACACAAAUUUCAUAUUUAAGACACCAUAUUACAUAAUAUCCCUUAAUGUUUUAAAAAUUACAUAAAAUUCUGGAUUUAUAUUUACUAGUGAUACAUAUGCUAUAUGUAUCACUACUGUUUAUAUAUGUAUAUACUAGUGAUACAUAUACAUAUGUAUCACUAGUCCAUAUGUAUCACUGCUUAACAUAUGUAUCACAAUUCGAAAUUCCAGGAUAAGAUGUAAUUAGCAAACUAUCCGGAAUUUUAUGUAAUAUUGCUGAAACUAUCCGGGAUUUAUGUAAGUUACUCUAUUUUAUAUGAGGCCAAUCUCUUCAUUGUAACUUUAAGAUAUAGCAAGCUCUUUAGAGUUGAAUCAUGUAUAUAGGUCCAAAGACUAAUUCGAGACUUAUUAUGAUAGCAUAAAUUUGCAGAAUUGUUUUGAUUAGUCUAUGAAGUUUAAGUUGCAAUGGUAUCUAAGGUUAGCACUAAUAAUUCUUUUUAGGUUCAUUAUUCGGUAUUUAUUCAGCUAUAGUUAGCUUUUACGUGUAUAAGAAGGUGAAGUAGAUAGUUGUUGUUGGUGUUUGAGGUUACUGAUGUCAACUUAUUAUCUUUUAUCUUGUCUAUGCCAAUUAAAAACCUAGGAAGAGCUCAUGGUGGUUUGGUGAUGGAGAGGAGAUCCAAUGUUCAUUGAACGAGGAGUAGAUUCUGUGUUUUUCAAGAAAAUAUUCUAAUCAAAUCAAAAUUAGAAAAUGAUUUGGGCUUGAAUAAACCACCAAAAGAAUCUGGCAGGAGAUUUUUGGGGAACAAAUAUUCUUGUGAUUUGGUAUAAGUUUUCUAAAAUUUUAAUGUAUUCUUAAAAUUCGCAACAAUAAUAAAUUAUUACUUAAAAUUGAUAGAAUUUGAUUAGAUUCUAGGUCAAGACUAUUGCAGAGUCUUAAACAAUAACAAAAAAUCUGCCUAUGCAAGGAGAAAAAGUAAAAGUAAACAAUUUAAUUAGAGUUUUCAUUAAUAUUUUGUCUUCAAUAUAUUUGAUAUAUAAUUUUAUUUAUUUGUUACUUAAGUUUAAACAGUUGGCUGGAAAGAAUCGAGUCUCAACAAAUAAAAAUUUACUUAAUUUCUACCCAAAAUUACAUUUUUAUCUUAGUACAUUAAAUUAUUUGCAUAUGAAGGAAAGAUUUAAUUCUAAAGGACAAAAAAUGAUCAGUCAUGUAUUUUAAUCUUCUUAGUGUGUUUAGACAAGUUAAUCCGAUGCGAACUGAUUGUAUUAUAAAAACACUAUUUUUAAUUCAUCCGCUUUAUAACUUCAAAAACUUAAAUAAGUUAAAAAAACUAUAAUUACUAUGUAUAUUAAAAGCUUAAAAAAUUUAGACUUACAUAUACUCUUUACGAAAACAAUUAACCUUUCUCUUUCAAAUUAUAUCAUUCUAUGUAAUUAUCUAUUUAAGUCAUAACUUUGCUAGAGAACGCAUUAGAAGUGUAUAUAUAUUAGAAUAAUACUAAAUAUGAUGUAUUUGUAAUGCUAAAAUUAGUAAUGUUAUGAUUAGUUAUAUGUGAUUAGUUAUGUUGAGAUUAUUUCUUAUUCACUGAUAAUUCUACACUUAACCAUGUUUAUUUCUAAUCUGUAAUCUCUAAUAUAUAAUCCAUAUUCAUACUAUAUUAAAAGUGUGAAGGGUUUUAGAAAUAUUAUUUGAUUUUUUUACCCUUUAUUAAAAGUUUCCAGUUUAAACAAAAUCGUUUCUCACUAUUUUCCUAAUAUUUAAGAGUUGAAAAUUAAUUAAAUAUUUAUAGUAAAACCUUUUCUUAUUAGAUAAUUCAUUGGUUUAAGAAUUCUAAAUAAACUAAAGUUGAUUUUAAGAAGAUUUGAAAAAUCUAGAAAUAAACAUAAAAGUUUUAGAAUAAGAAAAAUAUAAGAAAAUAGCAAGUUUUAAAAGUUUUAAGUAAGUAAUCAAAGAUUUUCUAAAAAUUUAACUUUAAAAAUAAGAAAAGAUUUUAAACAUAGAAAAAAAUAAUAUUCCCACUACGUACAAUAUGGUUCAAAUCCAUGUAUCUCUCUUAGCCUCUAACAGAAAGGAGAAGUGCUGCACAAAAAAAGCAAAAGUGAUGAUUCAUUAACUACUUGAAACUUCUGAUGAUAGUUAAAUAGUUAAAAGUGAUGAUACUUAAAAUUGUCUAUUUUAAAUAGUUAAAAGUUACACGUGUGAGACACGUGCAAUUAAACUUGUUUGUGUGUGUGUGUGUGUGUAUAUAUAUAUAUAUAUAUAUAUAGGAUAGUAUUGGAAGAACAUAAUAAAAUACUCUUGAUUUCAUCAAAAGAGACAACUAAAUUGAAACAAAUAUUUUUAGAAAGAGAACCGAGAGAAUUGAACGAAAGGUAUCUUUUUAAGUCUUGAAUGAAGGAUUGGUGACAUUGACCAACUUAAAGGGUCAAACAUCAUUAGGAAAUUUGAUUAAGUUAAUUGUGGAUUUCAUUAAUAUUUUCAAAACUUUCUAAUCUUUUCAAAACUACAAAUCAACCCACACCCCUCUUUAAUCCAAAUCAACCAUUCCUUCUCCCCCCUCUCUCUCAAUAACUUCUCUUAACUCUCUCCCAACCAACAGUUCUGCAAAAUUUCUCCCUUCAACCUUAGCGACAAAUAGUCGGGCGAGUUCCUUUUUGACUUUCAACCGUCAAUCGACGUGAAGACUUCUCCGGUGACAACAACUUUGAGUUCUUCGUCGUCCCAUUUCCUUUUUCAUAGGUAAAAAAUUAUGAAGAAACAGAGGAUCUUGAGCCAACUACUCUUCUAGUAUUGAAAUAUGGACUGAAUAUAACCCUAAUUUCUGGCAUUUCUUCUUCUUGUUGUCGUACUGUUGAUUCAAAUUUGUUGGUUAUUUUUUGUCACAGUUGAUGUUCUUAAUGUGUGUGUGUGUGAUGUAUUGGUGUUGCUGGGUUGAUGUGUUAUAUGUCUUGGAAAAAAUGGUGUUGCAACAGAUGAAAUAUCUGAUGUAACAGAUGAACAUAUGAUGUGACAGAUGAAUACAUCCGAUUCAACAGAUGGAAACAUCUGAUGCAACUAUGAACAAUCUAACAGAUCAUUCAUCUGUUUCAACAAACAACUCUUCUGUUUGGAAGAAAUCUAAACAGUAUUGAUUCAACAGAUAACUCAUUUUAUAACAGAUUAGUGAUCUAUUUAUAUUCUUUCCAACGAAAAUUACCCAUUCGUUGCAACAGAUCGGUUAUAAGUUCUCAUCCGUUGCAACAGGUCGGUUAUAUAUUACAACAGAUAACAUACCUGGUGCAACAAAUUAGUGAUCUAUUUUUAUUAUUUCCAACGGUUUACUCAUCCGUUGCAAUAGGUCGGUUAUAUAUUGCAACAGAUAACAUACUUGGUACAACAGACUAGUGUUCUAUUUUUAUGAUUACCAACGGAUUACUCAUCCGUUGCAACGGGUGGGUUAUAUAUUGCAUCAGAUAAAAUAUCUGAUGCAACAGAUUAGUGAUCUGUUUUUAUGGUUUUCAACGGAUUACUCAGCCGUUGCAAGGGGUCGGUUAUAUGUUGCAUCAGAUAAAAUACCUGGUGCAACAGAUUAGUGAUUUGUUUUUAUAGAUUUCACGGAUUACUCAUCCGUUGCAAUAGGUCGGUUAUAUGUUGCAAUAAAUAACAUACCUGGUGCAACAGAUUAGUGGUCUGUUGGAACUGUAAAUUACUGUUAUGCAUUAAUCAAUUAUAUCUAGGUUAUGUUCCUGUUAAUUUAAGAUAAUAUGGCUCCCAAAAGAAAAGAAAUCAAAUCAAGUCCAAGUAAAGGAACAAGUGCAGAAGCUUGGCUACAUCCACCACUCUAUGAGCUUGCUUUGCAAGCGUUAUCUCAAUCAGGAGUAGAAGAUAAUGAACAAAGGGAGGAGGAAUCUUUUAAAAGAGAUGAUCCAAACGCUAAUAGCCCUUCCGUCGAAGAGUUGGUCAAAACCUUCAGCAUUGAUCGUUAUCCUGUGAGAAUGCAGUGCGAUGGUGUCACAGAUUUAAUGGAUGAUCUCGUGGUUAAGUCAGUCAUGGAAAAAUCUUUCGACGCCUUCAAAAAAAUACUUCAAGAACAAAAAUUGGAUUCUUAUUUCAGGGAAAGCUUCUUUGGGCAAUAUCUUAAUUUAUCGGAGGACAACAAUGCUCGUUUCAAGAUAAAAAUGGUAUAUGAUCUUCUUAAGCGCAGGUUUACAUAUGAAAAUAAAGAUAAGAUGGAUGAGGUGUGGAUAAUUAUUGCGGCAUGCCUGUUUGUUUUAGUUGGAAGGAGUUUGCCAUAGUUACCGGACUAAAAUGCUAUCCUCCUUCUCCUUCUCAAGUUAUACCUACUCUGACCCAAAAAAAACACCCCGCACACCCAAAAAAGGCAAUGGCAAGUCGAGUGAUCAUGAUGAUUUGGUGUCCAUUGUUGGUCCAAGCUUAAAAAACAAAUAUCUGAUAGAAGCGUUGAAAGGUAAAGUACUUUCAAAAAAGCACAAGCAAUCAUUGUGCUUGGUUUGGUUUGUACAUAAUGUUCUUUGGGCGAGAGACGUUAACAACAAUAUAAGCCUCGAUUUAAUAAAUCUCUCUGAGGAUCUUGAGGUAUUUAACAACUAUCCUUGGGGUUAUGAAAGCUUCAAAAUGACUGUAAAAUAUUUGUUGACUCCGUUAACGCCAAAAACAGUCAACUUAUAUGCCUUUCCAUGGGCCUUCAUGGUAAAUAUUUUUUUUAUCUUGAUAUGAUUCAUCAUUUUUUUAUUCAACAAUGCUUUUGAUUUAUUGGCGUUAUGUUAUAGGCUUGAGCAUUUGAAGUCAUUCCUUAUUUGAGACAACAAGUGAACUACCAAGAAGAAGUUUUCUGUCUAAGAAUCCUGAGACGGUUGUUGGCCAAAACCGAUAAAAAUGCAAAAUUUCUUGAUCUUUUCAAUCCCUCCAAGGAAGCAGUAAGUCCAAUUCUAAUCAAGUUUUUGUUUUAAUUAGUGAUUAAAUGAUUUCAUUAUCAUUCUUAAUAUAUGUACCUAUUUAUUUUAGAUUGUUCAUCCGUGGCUUGUUUCGACCAACCGAGGGUUGAAGAUAUCAUUUUUUCUUAUUUUAUGGUCUGUACAACUUUAUCGAGCCCUGAGGUCGUUGAUGGAAUAAAAAUAAAAUUGUUUGAAGCAACAACCAUCACAAGAAAAAUAAUUUUGGAGGGUGGGCUUGUUGUUGUUGACGAUAGUAGUCGUAGUGGUGCUGUUGUUGGUUCUAAUGAUGCUCCUCUUACAAUUUUUUAAACAACAAGCCAUUAUGAUAAUUAUCAUAAUGGUUGUACAGAUUUUUCACCAGAUUUUACCACAUAUAUCGAAAGUUCUGCAUGAAAAUGUCAAGACUGCAAGGCGAAACACGAUGAAGUGAUUAAUGUUAUUAAUGCACUAACUGCUCCUAUAAAGGAAAUGACAUCUAAGAGGGGUGUCAUUCCAUUAAAGAAAAUUUCAUAUCCAAACACUCCACUAGAGAUCAAGGUGCCUAAGAGGAGAAGGAAAUACACUUCCAAGGCAUCAUCAACAUAAAAAAAACAAGAUUUCAACCCCUCUGUCUUUGUUUUGCACCGAUGUUCAGUGUGCAAGGGCCAUAGGAGAGCAGCAUGAGCUGAAGAAGGUGAAUGUACAUCAUCUAUUCCAACAAACAAACAGGAACAUAUCUGUUUCAAUGGAUGAUACAUCUGCUGAAAAUUAUCAGACAGAUAUAUACAUCUGUUGUAAUUGUUAUCUAACCUAUUGCAUCAGAUUCGUUAUCUGUUUCAACAACUGAGUCUUAUGUUGCAACAAAUGGGUCAUCUAUUCAAAAUUAUCGUACUGCUCUAAUUUACCUGUUAGAAUUUAUCCCAAUAAAUAAUCCAUCUGAUGCAGCAUAAGACUCAUCUGUUGCUACAGAUGGAUAAUCUGUUGUAUAUCUCCAAUAAGCAUUGACAAUUUUGGCUUUUUAGGUGGAUGCCACAGUAGAAGCUACUGCUGAAGAGCAUAAUAUCACAGUUGAUAAUCCAUCAACUGCUUUCAAAGAAGAAGAAAAAGUGGAGCCUGUCAGUUUGGGAGAACGAAAGAAUUACCCGUUUGAAGGGUUCAACAUCUCGGACGAGGCUCCAAAAUAACUAACACAGUUGAUCAAUGACUAUUCAUAAUGGAUUACCGAUGGUCUGUUAAAGCAUCAUGUCGGCAGGUACAUAAAUCAAUUUUAUAGGUAUUAGUUUAUAUAAUUCUUGUUGUAAGAACCUGACAUUACCAUAUAUAAAUCAUCAUGUAGAAAAGAAAAUGACGAGCGCUAUAAAGUGAACGAAUCAAGUCUUGGUUUUGAUAUGUUCGACUUUGUUGUUGCUCAUCCCGAGACGAAGAAUUGGUUCUAUUUGAUGUCAUAGCUCAAAACUUGUUGGAAUGAUGAGGUUUAAAUACCAUACAUACUACUAUAAUUAAUACUUUAUUUAAUUACAUCUAGAUUUUUUCGUCACGUAAUCCAAAAUAUUUUAUAAUAUGUGCAGCGCAUCGAUGUCAUUUUUUACUACCUCCGAAAGAAGGCCAAGUUGCAAAUACAAGAACAACACAGAUACACGACAUGCAAUUGUUUGUAUAAAGUUUACAUCAAUAAUGCCUACUAUAGGUAUUGUCAAUAGCAACCUGAAAUUUCCCUAAAUGAGGAAUGCUUAAUCAAAAUCAUCAAAGGUUUUAGCAUUUUGGCUAGCUUACCUUGGUAUUUGGUCGACGAAGUAUACAUCCCAAUCAAUUGUGGUGAUGAAUUUCAUUGGGUGUUGGCUGUCGUCAUUCUAAAAGAGAGGUGCAUCCGAGUUUAUGACUCGAUAUCAUGGAACGCUUCGAUUUUUUGAACCGGAAUGCUACACGGUGCUCAUGACCCCGAAGGACCACAAGCUAACCCAUGACUGAUAUCUGUACUUGUAUACUGCAUAGUAUCUCAUAAAAAUACAGAAAACAUGAACUGAAAGUCCAUAAGGUUUAAUCCGAACAUAAUCUGAUAAACCAACAUCUAAAAUGGUGUAUAUCAAUACCCAAAAUAAAACUGAGGUAACUAUCUGAACAUGCUAGUUUGAAAGCCUCUAAACUGACUGUCUGGAUAAGGAGUUGAUGGGACAUGUCCCCAACUAACUCCGUCUAACAAAACUGAACUGAAAUAAUAAAUAAAAUAAAAGCAUAUCAUCCUCGAAUGAAGAGAACUCACUGCAACUCUGAGUACUGGAAUGUCACUGCUACUGCUGAUCUAGAAAUGAGACUCGUGUCUCUGAACCUAUGGCGUAACAUAAAAAGAAAACACCAUAGCGCAAAUGCGUCAGUACGUUGGAAUGUACUGAGUAUGCAUGAAAGGUAGGCUAAUGCAUGGGGUUUAUAUGCAUGAACUAUACCGACUGACUGACAUGAACGUGAGAAUACAUACAUGCAUACAUAAAUGUAACUGAAUAACGUGAUAGGACUAAAUACUGAGUUCUUACUGCUGAGUCUACUGAUAACUUGGAUUUACUGAUAUCUGAGUUUACUACUAAUGGAAUACAGAUCAACGGUAUUACUGAUAAGAUGACAACUGAGUUUACUGAGAUGGAUAUUUGAAUGAUUGUUUUUUAUAGUUCUGAUUAUGAAGAACUAAUCUGAUAGAAUGUAUAUGCCAGCCUAGUUAGAAAGAAUUUAUCUAAUUGACUGUAUCUGACAACCGUGAAUAUGAAGAACUGAUAUAUUUGACCGUAUCUGACAAUCAUAAAUAUGAAUACUGAUAAUAUGAGUUUCAUAAAACUGAUAUACUGAUGAUAAAUGACUGUAUCUGAUAGUCUAAGUUUUAUGUAACUAGCUGAGUUUCGUAUUGCUGGGUGACUGUAACUGACAGUCCUAAGUCUGAAGAACUAUCUGAGUUCUAUUACUGAAACUGAGAGUGAGACUAAAACUGAGACUGUGGGAGGUAAUCAUCUAACCGACAUGCCCUGUAACUGAACUGGUGGGGUCCAACCCGUAACCCCAGCUAAAGGGUGUCAAUACCAUACCACGGGUAAAGACAACAUGUGAGUAAACCCUAUUCAGUUUGGGAACUCUUUUCAUCUGCCUUUGCUACUAGGUGAACUCAAAUGAGAUACAUUGGCCCUAUAUGUAGGGACAUCUCAACCUACGCUGGCUACGUAGUUAUGGAACACAAGGAUUGCUACUAAGGAUCGUACCCUCUGACUUAGGUGUCUCCCCAUCCUUGGGUUCACUCGGUGCUGAUACUACUCCCAACUAAAUAGACACUAAACUGAUUUAACUGAACUAGACUAGACUGAGUUUAUGGAGUUUCGUUGAUUGACGGAAUACAUUUGAGAACUGAUAAUUGACUGAGAUUACCGAGAUUACGAAUAUCACGGGUUUGUUGAGAUUACUGAAUUUAAAGUACUGAAUUACUGAGAUGACUAAAUUACUGAGAUUACUAAGGUUACUGAGUACUGCAUAGGACUAGACUAAUACUGAUUUUACAUAAGCUUUUCGGAGUCAUGAGAUUGACUGAAGUCUACAGAACAUGGCUUGACUGAGAGUAUCGUGAUAACAUGAUAUGGCUCUAGUCACACAACUAUAUUUUCUAGGUACAAGUACCCCC
rnacentral:lncRNA from 1 species